CGUUGAAUAAUCAGUGUAGCGCGCGUGCGGCCCAUAACAUCUAAGGGCAUCACAGACCUGUUAUUGCCUCAAACAUUCGCGGCCUAAAAGGCCGUAGUCCCUCUAAGAAGCUGGCCGCGAAGGGAUACCUCCGCAUAGCUAGUUAGCAGGAUGAGGUCUCAUUCGUUAACGGAAUUAACCAGACAUAUCGCUUCACCAACUAAGAACGACCAUGCACCACCAGCAGUAGAAUGAAGAAAGAGCUCUCAGUGUGUCAAUCCUUACUAUGUUUGGACCUUGUAAGUUUCCCCGUGUUGAGCCAAAUAAAGCCGCAGGCUCCACUUCUGGUGGUGCCAUUUCGUCAUGCCAUGCCACGCCCGACGUCAUUCAACCUUGUUUGCCGUUCAAGGGCUAUGAUGGCAUGCGAUGACCAACUUCGUUUGAUCGUGUGUGGUGUCCAAGGGCCAUGAUGGAAUGCCACGCCCGACGAUGUCGACCGUGCAUACUGCCCAAAGGAGAUGAUGGCAUUCCAUGCCCGACGUCGUUCGACCGUGUUUGCCGUCCAAGGGCGACGAUGGAAAGCCACGCCCGACGCCGUCCGACCGUUUGUGCUGCCCAAAGGUGAUGAUGGCAUGCCAUGCCUAGCGUCGUUCGACCGUGUGUGCUUUCCAAAGAUGGUGAUAGCAUAUCGCGCUCGACGUCGUUCGAUCGUGUGUGCUGCUCCAAGGCGGUGAUGUCAUGCCAUGCCCGAUGUCUUUCGACUGUGUGUGCUGCGAUAAGGCGAUGCUGGCAUACCACGCCCGACGUUGUUCGACCGUGUGUGCUGCCCAAAGGUGAUGAUGGCAUGCCAUCCCCGACGUCGUUUGGCCGUUUGUGCUGCCCAAAGGCGAUAAUUGCAUGCCACGCCCGACGAAGUUCGACUAUUUGUGCUGCCCAAAGGAGAUGAUGGCAUUACACGCCCGACGUCGUUCGACUGUGUGUGCUGUCCAAAGGCGGUGAUGGCAUGUCACGCCCUACGUCGUUUGACCGUGUGUGCUGUCCAGAGGCGGUGAUUUCAUGCCACGCCCGACGUCUGUCGACCGUGUGUGCGGCCCAAAGGCAAUGAUGACAUGCCCUACCUAACAUCAUUCGAUCGUGUGUGCUGUCCAAAGGCGGUGAUGGCAUGUCACACUUGACGUCGUUCGAUCGUGUUUGUCGUCCAUAGGCUAUGAUGGCAUGCCACGCCUGAUGUCGUUCGACCGUGUGUGCUACCCAAAGGCGAUGAUGGCAUGCCAUGGCCGACGUCGUUCGACCGUGUGUGUUGUCCAAAGGCGGUGAUGUCAUGCCAUGCCCGAUGUAGUCCUACUGUGUGUGCUGUCCAAGGGCGGUGAUGUCAUGCCACGCCAAACGUCAUCCGACCAUGUGUGCUAUCCAAGGCGGUGAUGGCAUACCACGCCCGACGUCGUCUGACCGUCUGUGCUGCCGAAAGGCGAUGAUAGCAUGACCAUCCCAACGUCGUCCUUCCGUGUGUGCUGUCCCUAGGCGUUGAUGGCAUGCCACUCUCUACGUUGUCGACCAUGUUUCCCGUCCAAGGGCGAUGAUGGCAUGCCCCGCUCGACGCCGUCCAACUGUGUCAGCUAGUCCAAAGGCGAUGAUGGCAUGCCACGCCCGACGUCGUUCCACCUUGUGUGUUGUCUAAAGGCGGUGAUGUCAUGUUACACGUGAUGUCGUUCUACGGUGUGUGUUCUACAAAGGCGGUGAUGUCAUGCCACGCCCAAAGUUGCCGACCGUGCGAGCAGUUUAAGGGCGGUGAUGUCAUGCCACACCUGACGUUAACGACCGUGUGUGUUGUCUAAGGGCGGUGAUGUCAUGCCAUGCUUGAAUUUGUCUGAUCGUGCGUGCACUACAAGGGCAGUGAUUUCAUGCCAUGGCAGACGUCGUUCGACCGCAUGUGCUGUCCAAGGGCGAUGAUGUAAUGUUACGCCCGACGACGGAUGAUAGUUUGUGCUGUCCAAGGGCGAUGAUGGAAUGCCACACCCGAAGCCGUCCGACUGUCUGUGCUGCCCAAAGGAGAUGAUGGCAUGCCACGCCCGACGUCAUUUUACGGUGUUUGCCGUCCAAGGGAGAUGAUGGCAUGCCACACCCGACGAUGUCGACCGUGCGUACUGCCCAAAGGAGAUGAUGGCAUUCCACGCCCGACAUCGUUCGACCGUGUUUGCCGUUCAAGGGCGACGAUGGCAUGCCACGCCCAACGAUGUCGAUCGUGCGUACUGCCCAAAAGAGAUGAUGGCAUUCCACGCCCGACAUUGUUCGACCGUGUUUGCCGUCCAAAGGCAACGAUGGCAUGCCACGCCCGAUGCCGUCCGAUUGUUUGAGCUUCCAAAAGGUGAUGAUGGCCUGCCAUGCCCAGCGUCGUUCGACCGUGUGUGCAGUCCAAUGGCAGUGAUGGCAUGUCACGCCCGACGUAGUUUGACGGUAUGUGUUGUCUAAAGGCGGUGAUGUCAUGCCACGCCCGACGUCUUUCGACUAUGUGUGCUGCCUUAAGGCGAUGCUGGCAUGCCAUGCCAGACGUCAUUCGACCGUUCGUGCUGCCCAAAGGUGAUGAUGGCAUACCACGCCCGACGUCGUUCGACCGUGUGUGCUGCCCAAAGGCGAUGAUGGUAUGCCACGCCCGACGUAGUUUGACCGUGUGUGCUGCCCAAAAGAGAUGAUGGCAUUACACGCCCAACGUCGUUCGACCAUCUGUGCAGUCCAAAGGCAGUGAUGGCAUGUCACGCCCGACGUCGUUUGACCGUGUGUACUGUCCAAAGGCGGUGAUGUCAUGCCAAGCCCAACGUCUUUUGACCGUGUGUGCGGCCCAAAGGCGAUGAUGACAUGUCCUACCUGACGUCAUUCAACCGUGUGUGCUAUCCAAAGGCGGUGAUGGCAUGUCACACUUGACGUCGUUCGACCGUGUUUGCCAUCCAUAGGCUAUGAUGGCAUGCCUCGCCCGACAUCGUUCGACCGUGUGUGCUGCCCAAAAGCGAGGAUGGCAAGCCACGGCCGACGUUGUUCGACCGUAUGUGCUGUCCAAAGGUGGUGAUGUCAUGCCACGCCCGACGUAGUCCUACCGUGUGUGCUGUCCAAGGGCGGUGAUGGUAUGCCACGCCCAACAUCAUCCGACCAUGUGUGCUGUCCAAGGGCGGUGAUGGCAUGUUUCGCCCGACGUCGUCUGACCAUCUGUGCUGUCGAAAGGCGAUGAUAGCAUGACACACCCUACAUCGUCCUUCAAUGUGUGCUGUCCCUAGGUGUUGAUGGCAUGCAACGCUCUAUGUUGUUGACCAUGUUUCCCGUCCAGGGGCGAUGAGGCAUGCCACGACUGACGCCGUCCGACUGUGUCUGCUAGUCCAAAGGCGAUGAUGGCAUGCCACGCCCGACGUCAUUCCACCGUGUGUGUUUUCUAAAGGCGGUGAUGUCAUGUCACGCCAGACGUUGUUCUACCGUGUGUGCUGUCCAAAGGCGGUGAUGUCAUGCCACGCCCGACGUUGCCGACCGUGCCAGCAGUCCAAGGGCGGUGAUUUCAUGCCACGCCCGAAGUCGUUUGACCAUUUGUUCUGCCUUAUGGCGAUGAUGGCAUGCCAUGCUCGACGUCGUUCAACCGUCUGUGCCUACCCCAAGGCGGUGAUGUCAUGCCACGCCUGACGUCGUUAGACCGUGUGUGCUGUCCAAAAGCGGUAAUGUCCUGCCACGCCUGACAUCGUUUGACCAUUUGUGCUGCCUUGAUGGCAUGCCACGCCCGACAUCGUUCGACCGUGUGUGUUGUACAAAGGCAGUGAUGGCAUGUCACGCUCGACGUUGUUCCACUAUGUGUGCUGUCCAAAGGCGGUGAUGUCAUGCCAAGCCCAACGUCUUUUGACCGUGUGUGCGGCCCAAAGGCGAUGAUGACAUGUCCUACCUGACGUCAUUCAACCGUGUGUGCUAUCCAAAGGCGGUGAUGGCAUGUCACACUUGACGUCGUUCGACCGUGUUUGCCAUCCAUAGGCUAUGAUGGCAUGCCUCGCCCGACAUCGUUCGACCGUGUGUGCUGCCCAAAAGCGAGGAUGGCAAGCCACGGCCGACGUUGUUCGACCGUAUGUGCUGUUCAAAGGUGGUGAUGUCAUGCCACGCCCGACGUAGUCCUACCGUGUGUGCUGUCCAAGGGCGGUGAUGGUAUGCCACGCCCAACAUCAUCCGACCAUGUGUGCUGUCCAAGGGCGGUGAUGGCAUGUUUCGCCCGACGUCGUCUGACCAUCUGUGCUGUCGAAAGGCGAUGAUAGCAUGACACACCCUACAUCGUCCUUCAAUGUGUGCUGUCCCUAGGUGUUGAUGGCAUGCAACGCUCUAUGUUGUUGACCAUGUUUCCCGUCCAGGGGCGAUGAGGCAUGCCACGACUGACGCCGUCCGACUGUGUCUGCUAGUCCAAAGGCGAUGAUGGCAUGCCACGCCCGACGUCAUUCCACCGUGUGUGUUUUCUAAAGGCGGUGAUGUCAUGUCACGCCAGACGUUGUUCUACCGUGUGUGCUGUCCAAAGGCGGUGAUGUCAUGCCACGCCCGACGUUGCCGACCGUGCCAGCAGUCCAAGGGCGGUGAUUUCAUGCCACGCCCGAAGUCGUUUGACCAUUUGUUCUGCCUUAUGGCGAUGAUGGCAUGCCAUGCUCGACGUCGUUCAACCGUCUGUGCCUACCCCAAGGCGGUGAUGUCAUGCCACGCCUGACGUCGUUAGACCGUGUGUGCUGUCCAAAAGCGGUAAUGUCCUGCCACGCCUGACAUCGUUUGACCAUUUGUGCUGCCUUGAUGGCAUGCCACGCCCGACAUCGUUCGACCGUGUGUGUUGUACAAAGGCAGUGAUGGCAUGUCACGCUCGACGUUGUUCCACUAUGUGUGCUGUCCAAAGGCGGUGAUGUCAUGCCACGCCCCACGUCGUUCAACUGUGUGUGCUGCCCAAAGGCGAUGAUGGCAUGCCACGCCCGACAUAGUCCGACCGUGUGUGCUGUCCAAGGGUAGUGAUGUCAUGCCAUGCCCGACGUCGUCCGACCGUACGUGCAGUCCAAGGGCGGUGAUGUCAUGCCAUGCCCAACAUUGUUCGAUCGUGUGUUAUGUCCAAGGGAAGUGAUGUCAAGCCACGCCCGACGUUGUCUGACCGUGUGUGCUGUCCAAGGGCAGUGAUGUCAUGACACACCUGACGUUAACGACCGUGUGUGUUGUCUAAGGGCGGUGAUGUUAUGCCACGCUCGACGUUGCCGACUGUGCUUCCCAAAGGCGAUGAUGGCAUGCCACACCCGACGUAGUUCGACCUUGUGUACUGCCCAAAGGUGAUAAUGGAAUGCCACGCUCGACGUCGUUCGAUCGUGUGUGCCGUACAAAGGCGAUGAUGUAAUGCCACGCCUGACGUAGUCCGACCGUGUGUGCUGCCCAAAGUCGGUGAUGUCAUUAAAUGCCUGACGUCGUUCGACCGUGUGCUGUCCUGUGGCGGUGAUGUCAUGCCACGCCCUACGUUGCCGAUUGUCUCUGCUGUCCAAGGGCGGUGAUGUCAUGCCACGCCCGACGUCGUUCAACCAUGUGUGUUGUCCAAGGGCGGUUAUGUCAUGCCACGCCCGACGUUGUUCAACCAUGUGUGCUGUCCAAGGGCGGUGAUGUCAUGCCAUGCCCGACGUCGUUCUUCCGUGUGUGGUUUCCAAAGACGUUGAUGACAUGCCACACUCUAAGUCGUUCGACCAUGUUUCCCGUCCAAGGGCGAUGAUGGCAUGCCAUGCCCGACGCCGUCUGAGUGUGUCAGCUAGUGCAAAUGUGAUGAUGGCAUGCCACGCCUGACCUCGUUCAACCUUGUUUUUAGUUCAAGGGCUAUGAUGUCAUGCCACACCCGACUUCGUUCGACCGUGUGUGCUGCCCAAAGGCGAUGAUGGCAUUCCACGCCCGAUGUCGUUCGACCGUGUUUACCAUCCAUGGGCUAUAACGGUAUGCCACGCCCAACGUCAUUCGAUCGUGUGUGCUGCCUAAAGGUGAUGAUGGCAUCCCAUGCCCAGCGUCGUUCGACCGUGUGAGCUGUCAAAAGGCGGUGAUGUCAUGCCACGCCCGACGUCUUUCGACUGUGUGUGCUGCCUUAAGGCGAUGCUGGCAUGCCACGCCCGACGUCGUUCGACCGUGUGUGCUGCCCAACGGUGAUGAUGGCAUGCCACGCCCGACGUCGUUCGACCGUUUUUGCUGCCCAAAGGCGAUGAUGGCAUGCCACGCCCGAAGUAGUUCGACCGUGUGUGCUGCCCAAAGGUUAUGUUGGCAUGCCACGCCCGACAUAGUUCGACCGUGUGUGCUACCCUAAGGCGAUAAUGGAAUGCCACGCUUAACGUCGUUCGACCGUGUGUGCUGUCCAAAGGCGAUGAUGGCAUGCCAUGCCCGACGUCGUUCGACCGUGUGUGCUGUACAAAGGCGGUGAUAUCAUGCCACGCCUGAUGUAUCCGACCGUGUGUGCUGCCCAAGGGCGGUGAUGUCAUGCGAUGCCCGACGUCGUCCGACCGUGUGCUGUUUGUUGACACCCACUUUUGACUGACCUUUGACCAUUUUAGGAAUACUAUUCGAUUAAAUAUGUAUUUUAAAUUUUAUAAUUUUUUAACCCACUUUACUUGAAUAUAAUAUGUUUUAGUAUGUUUUACAUUAUAAAGUUAUCGUAAAUAUCAUUAAAAUAUUUUAAAAUUAUUAAUGAAUUUCAAAUGUUAAAAUUUAAAUGAUUUUCAAUUAUAUAAAAAUAUUUUAAUAUAUGUAGUAUUUUAUUUAAAUAGUAAGUCCUACACUUUCCUUAAAUUUUAAAUUCUAGCCUAUUGUAUCGUAAUAUCUUUCAAUUCUAGCUACUCCAAUUAAGUUUUUAUUACAAUCAUAGCCUCUCUCUCAUUUCAAUUCUAGCCAUUUUAAUUGCAAUUGUAGCCAUUCCAUAUGCAAUCCAAUCUGAUUUCAAUAUAUCUCAACUUUUAAUCUCAUCCAUCUAUUUUAUUAAUCGAAUCCUAGACCCUCAUUUCAAAUUAGAUCAACGAUUAUGAUUAAAUCUAUUAUUUUCUCAACACCAAAAGACCCCAAAACCUAAAAUUCUAACCCAUUCUUCUCCCCCUCUGCUUGGCAGCCGCCACACUCUCUCUCUCUCUCUCCAGCGCCGCUCCUCCUUCUUCCUUUUUCCGACCGGCGAGGCCAUCAUCCAUAGGUUGCAACGCCCCUCUGUCGCCACCCCUCUCCAACCGCCUCCCUUCCCGUCUUUCAACCUCUCCCUGCCUCCAUCUUUUCUUUCUCUCCUCUCUUCCCUCUUUCUUUCUCUCCUCUUCUCCUCUUCGACGAAGUCAGGCGACCAGUGGCAGCUCCGGCAAAGUCAACCGCUGGCCACCUCUUCUCCCUUUCUCUUUCUCUCCCGUCGGCCCCGCUUCUCCUCUUUCUCUCCCCUUCUCCUCUCUCCCCUCCCGUCUCUUCUUUUCCCCUUCCUCUUCCCCUUUCUCUCCUCCUUUUGCGGGGAAAACCGGCAGCAAUAUCUCGACGAGACAGCAGCAGUAGCAUCUCGACGAGACAGCAGCAACAGCAGACUCCAGCGAUCCUUAUUUUUUUCCCUUGUUUCCUGCCAGCAAGUUCAGCUAAUGGACGGCGUAGAUUCUAUUGAUAUAUCAAUAUAUUGCGGCUGAUUUUAAGAUGAAUUUCAACAGAUCCGUUUGGAUUAGUUUCUGUUUUAGUUUUUUUAUUUAGAUGUUUAAUUCGCCUAAUGUUAUGCAUGUUUUCAAAAAUAUUUUGCUAUGAGUAUGAAAAUAUAUUGUGAUUUGCUUGAUCCUAUGGACUGUUCUUGUUGAUUUUUUUCUUGAAAAUUCGCAAAGUACAUGUGUUUUAGCCGUGUUGAAAACAAUAUUGUAUGAUAAUCAGUUCCUGCCUCCCAUUAAGUUUGCUAAAUGUGAUUUGGGUAUUGACAUUCUAAGUAUAUAUGGUUUCACUUUGAUUAUUAUUUGUUAUGAUAAGUCUUGUAAUUUUCAAUAGUAGUUGCAGAUUUCUUAUAUCUUUUAAAAAAUUAUUGUCAUUUUAAUUGACUAUUUUAUUUUACCUUGAUUGACUUAAAAUAUAUUCUUAGUUGUUAUAUUUUUAGAAAUGUGAUAUGUAAUUAAGGUAAAAAUGAUUGUACCGAUUUUACUCUUUACUAGUUAAGGAAAAUAAGUUUAAUUCAUCUAUUUUUCCUUAUGAAUAAACAUACUGAUUCCUUACUUGUUUGUAUUAUGGUAAUAAAUUAUUUUAAAAUAUUCAGAUUUGGUCCUCUUAUAUAAUAAGGAAAACAAUAUAUUUAAUUGAUUCCUUUAAGUAUUUCUUUUCCUUAUUUGUUUCCUCCUCCUUACUAUAUAAAUAAGACGCCCUCCCUUCAUCAACGGAUACACUCAUUCAAUCUCAAUCACAAGUUCUCUCAUCACUCUUCCUUCUCUCAUUGCUCUCUUGCUACUCUAACAAUACAUUAAGAUUUCGGUAAUUAUUCAACUGUUCUUUUUCGCUAUAUUGCUACUUUGUUCGAGUAAAAGUUAAUCAAUUUGUUUUGCUUGACUAGUUAGUAUUCUUAACAUUUACACUAUCUUUUCAUUCACACGUUUGUGUAAGCUAUUGUCUUUUUUUUUUAUAUGUAGAAUUUGUCAUUAAACAAUUGCAUAUUGUCUCACCUUGACUAAUAAAUGUGAUUACUUGUGUAGUUAUUUGAUUGCUUUGACAGGUUUCAAAGUUGAUGUUCAAGUUGAAGAUUAACCACGAAGAAAGAUUUAUUUGUUUAUUUGAAUCUCUCUCUCUCUCUCCCUCUCUCUCUCUCUCUCUAUCUAUCUAUCAUAUCUAGGGGAGGGAAAUUUACAUGCCUACUUGUUCAUUGUAAAUUUUUUUAGAAAUCAUGACUAUAGGUUUGUCUUUAACCCCCUAAAUCAUUGUUUGUAGGUGUUAUAAUCUAACCAAUUUUCCAUUUGCUUGACGCUUUUGUUAAUAAGUCUAGAAAAAUAAAAAAACUAGAUUCCAUUAAUUUUUGAAUGUUAAAAUCAAAUCGUAAUAAUUUAGUAGGCUGAUUAGGUGUUUUAAAAAAUGUUAUAACUUUUUAGCAUUGUCAUACCACGCCCGACGUCGUCCUACCGUGUAUGUUGUCCAAGGGCGGUGAUGGCAUGCCACGCCCGACGUCAUCCGACCAUGUGUGUUGUCCAAGGGCGGUGAUGGCAUGCCACGACCGACGUCGUCUGACCGUCUGUGCUGUCAAAAGGAGAUCAUAGCAUGCCACGCUGGACGUCACACGUCUAGAGAACUUGAACAAGCCCCUCCAAGGCUUGAAACCGCCGCCCCUUCACCUGCAGAAACGGCUGUAACUGCCUGUAACGGCUGUAACUUCUUGUAACAGCUGAAACGCCUGACCCUUUGUCUGCUGCCUACUUGGACGCCUGCCCCUUUGCCUACUGGCCGUUUUUGGGCUAUUUGUCCCCUUGCACAGGCUGCUGGCUGCCUAGACGGGUCGUGAUCUGCCUGGGUAUCAGGCAGGUCGUGACAAUAGGCUAUGAUGGCAUGCCACGCCCAAUGUUGUUUGACUGUGUGUGCUUCCCAAAGGCGACAAUGGCAUGCCACGCCCGAUGUCGUUCGACCGUGUGUGCUAUCCAAAAGUAGUGAUGUCAUGCCAAGCCCGACCUAGUCCUACCGUGUGUGCUGUCCAAGGGCGUGAUGGCAUGCCACGCCCAACGUCAUCCGACCAUGUGUCCUAUCCAAGGGCGGUGAUGGCAUGCCACGCCCGACGUCGUCCGACCGUCUGUGCUGCCCAAAGGCGAUGAUAGCAUGACACGCCCGACGUCAUCCUUCCGUGUGUGCUGUCCCUAGGCGUUGAUGGCAUGCAACGCUCUAUGUCGUUCGACUGUGCUUCCCGUCCAAGGGCUACGAUGGCAUGCCAUGCCCAACGCCGUCCGACUGUGUCAGCUAGUCCAAAGGCAAUGAUGGCAUGCCACGCCCGACGUUGUUCCACCGUGUGUGUUGUCUAAAGGCGGUGAUGUCAUGUCACGCCCGACGUCGUUCGACCGUGUGUGCUGUCCUACGGCGGUGAUGUCAUGCCACACCCGACAUUGCCGACGGUGCAAGCAGUUCAAGGGCGGUGAUGUCAUGCCACGCUCAACAUAGUUUGACUGUUUGUUCUGCCUUAAGGCGAUGAUGACAUGCCACACUCGCCGUUGUUCGACCGUGUGUGCCUACCCCAAGGCGGUGAUGUCAUGCCACGCUUGACGUCGUUCGAUUGUCUGUGUUGUCCAAAGGCGGUGAUGUCAUGCCAUGCCUGACGUCGUUCGACCUUGUUUGUCGUUCAACGGCUAUGAUGGCACGCCACGCCCGACUUCGUUCGACCGUGUGUGGUGUCUAAGGGCCAUGACGGCAUGCCAAGCUUGACGUCGUUCGAUCGUGUGUGCUGCCUAAAGGCGAUGAUGGCAUUCCACGCCCGACGUCGUCCAACCGUGUUUCCAUUCAUGGGCUGUGAUGGCAUGCCAUGCCGACAUCAUUCGACCGUGUGUGCUUCCCAAAGGCGAUGAUGGCAUGCCAUGCCUGACGUCGUUCGACCGUGUGUUCUGUCCAAAGGCGGUGAUGUUAUGCCAUGCUCGACGUAGUCCGACCGUGUGUGCUGCCCACGGACGGUGAUGUCAUGCCAUCCCUGAUGUCGUCUGUCCAUGCGUGCUGUCCAAUAGCAGCGAUGUCAUGCCACGCCCGACGUUGCCGUCUGUGUGUGCUGUCCAAAGGAGGUGAUGUCAUACCACACUUGAUGUCGUCUGACCGUGUGUGCAGUUCAAGGGCAAUGAUGUCAUGCCAUGCCACGCGUCGUUCUACCGUGUGUGUUGUCCAAAGGUUGUGAUGUCAUGCCACGCCCGACGUAGUCCGACCAAGCGUGCAGUCCAAGAGCGGUGAUCUCAUACCACGCCCGACGUCGUCAUACCUUGUAUGUUGUCCAAGGGCAGUGAUGGCAUGCCACGCCUGACGUCAUCCAACCAUGUGUGCUGUCCAAGGGCGGUGAUGGCAUGCCACGCCAGACGUCGUCUGACCGUCUGUGCUGCCCAAAAGAGAUGAUAGCAUGCCACGCCCGACGUCGUCCUUCCUUGUGGGUUGUCCUUAGGCUUUGAUGGCAUGCCACGCUCUACGUUGUUUGAGUGUGUUUCCCGUCCAAGGGCGAUGAUGGCAUGCCACGCCUGACACCGUCCGACUGUGUCAGCUAGUCCAAAGCCGAUGAUGGCAUGCCACGCCUGACGUCAUUCAACCUUGUUUGCCGUUCAAGGGAUAUGAUGGCAUGCCACGCGCGACUUCGUUCGACAGUGUGUACUGUCUAAAGGCGGUGAUGGCAUGUAAAGCCCGACGUCGUUUUACUGUGUGUGCUGCCCAAAGGCGGUGAUGCCAUACUACGCCCAACGUCUUUCGACCGUGUGUGCUUCCCAAAGGCAAGAUGGCAUGCCACGCCCGACGUCAUUCGACCGUGUAUGUUGUCCAAAGGCGGUGAUGGCAUGUCACGCCUGAUGUCGUUCGACCGUGUUUACCAUCCAUGGGCUAUUAUGGCAUGCCCCGCCAGACUUCAUUCGAUCGUGUGUGCUGCCCAAAGGCGAUGAUGGCAUGUCACGCUCGACGUUGUUCGACCGUGUGUGUUGUACAAAGGCGGUGAUGUCAUGCCACGCCUGACGUAGUCCAACCGUGUGUGUUGCCCAAGGGCGGUGAUGUUAUGCCAUGCCUGACGUCGUCCGACCGUGUGCUGUCCUAUGGCGGUGAUGUCAUGCCACGCCCUACGUUGCCGAUUGUCUGUGCUGUCCAAGGGUGGUGAUGUCAUGCCACGCCCGACGUCGUUUGACCGUGCGUGCCGUCCAAGGGCGGUGAUGUCAUGCCACGCCCGACGUUGUUCGACCGUGUGUGCUUCCCAAAUGAAAGAUGGCAUGCCACGCCCGACGUCGUUCGACUGUGUGUGCUUUCCAAAAGCGGUGAUGGCAUGUCUCACUCGACGUUGUUCGACCGUGUGCGCUGUCCAAAGGAGGUGAUGACAUGCCACGCCCGACGGCUUUCGACUGUGUGUGCUACCCAAAGGCGAUAAUGGAAUGCCACACUCGACAUCAUUUGACGUGUGUGCUGUCCAAAGGCGAUGAUGGCAUGCCACGCCCGACGUCAUUCGACCGUGUGUGCUGUACAAAGGCAGUGAUGUCAUGCACGCCUGACGUAGUCCAACCGUGUGUGUUGCCCAAGGGCGGUGAUGUUAUGCCAUGCCUGACGUCGUCCGACCGUGUGCUGUCCUAUGGCGGUGAUGUCAUGCCACGCCCUACGUUGCCGAUUGUCUGUGCUGUCCAAGGGUGGUGAUGUCAUGCCACGCCCGACGUCGUUUGACCGUGCGUGCCGUCCAAGGGCGGUGAUGUCAUGCCACGCCCGACGUUGUUCGACCGUGUGUGCUUCCCAAAUGAAAGAUGGCAUGCCACGCCCGACGUCGUUCGACUGUGUGUGCUUUCCAAAAGCGGUGAUGGCAUGUCUCACUCGACGUUGUUCGACCGUGUGCGCUGUCCAAAGGAGGUGAUGACAUGCNNNNNNNNNNNNNNNNNNNNNNNNNNNNNNNNNNNNNNNNNNNNNNNNNNNNNNNNNNNNNNNNNNNNNNNNNNNNNNNNNNNNNNNNNNNNNNNNNNNNCGUGUGUGCUCCCAAAGGUGAUGAUGGAAUGUCACGCCCGACGUCGUUCGAUGUGUGUGCUGUCAAAAGGCAGUGAUGGCAUGUAACACCCGACGUCAUUUGACCGUGUGUGCUGUCGGUCCAAAGACGGUGAUAUCAUUUCAUGCCCGACAUCUUUCGACCGUGUGUGCGGCCCAAAGGCGAUGUUGGCAUGCCCUACCUGACGUCGUUCGACCGUGUGUGCUGUCCAAAGGCGUGAUGGCAUGUCACGCCUGACGUUGUUCGACCGUGUUUGCCAUCCAUAGGCUAUGAUGGCAUGGCACGCCUGACGUCGUUCGACGACCGUGUGUGCUGCCCAAAGGCGAUGAUGGCAGGCAACGCCCGACGUCUUUCGACGUGUGUGCUAUCCUAAGGCGGUGAUGUCAUGCUACGCCCGACGUAGUCCUACUGUGUGUGUUGUCCAAGGGCGGUGAUGGCAUGCCACGCCCAACGUCAUCCGACCAUGUGUGUUGUCCAGGGCGGUGAUGGCAUGCCACGCCCGACGUCAUUCGGUCGUCUGUGGUGCCCAAAGGCGAUGAUAGCAUGACACGCCCAACGUCAAUCCUUCCGUGUGUGCUGUCCCUAGGCGUUGAUGGCAUGCCUUGCUCUAUGUCGUUCGAACCGUUAUUUCCCGUCCAAGGGCGAUGAUGGCAUGCCACGCCCAGCACCGUCCGAUUGUGUCAGCUAGUCCAAAGGCGAUGAUGGCAUGCCACGCCCGACGUCGUUCAACCUUGUUUGCCAUUCAAACGCUAUGAUGGCAUGCCACGCCAGACUUCGUUCGGUCAUGUGUGGUGUCCAAGGGCCAUGCACGGCAUGCCUUGCCCGACGUCGUUCAGCCGUGUGUGCUGCCCAAAGAUGAUGAUGGCAUUGCACGCCCGACGUUGUGGCGACCAUGUUUUCCGUCCAUGGGCUAUGAUGGAAUGCCACGCCCGACAUCAUUCGACCGUGUGGUGCUGCACAAAGGCGGUGAUGUGCAUGGCACGCUCGACGUAGUACGACCGUGUGUGCUGCCCAAGGGCGGUGAUGUCAUGCCAUGCCCGAUGUCGUCAACACCGUGUGUGCUGUCUAAGGGCGGUGAUGUCAUGCCACGCCUGACGUUGCCAAUUGUGUGUGCUAUCCAGGGUGGUGAAUGUCAUGCCACGCCCGACGUCGUUCGAGCGUGCUUGCCGUCCAAGGGCGGGCAUGUCAUGCCACGCCUAACGUCGUUCGACUGUGUGUGCUGUCGAAGGGGGGUGAUGUCAUGCCACGCCCAACGUCAUCCAAUCGUGCAUGCAUUCCUAGGGGCGUUGAUUUCAUGCUACGCCGACGUCGUUUGACCUUUUGUGCUGCCCAAAGAUGAUGAUGGCAUGCACGCCCGACGUCGUUCCACCGUGUGUGCUGUCCAAAGGCGGUGAUGGCAUGUCACGCCCGACGUCGUUCGACUUGUGUGCUGUCCAAUGGCGAUGAUAUCAUGCACGCCAACGUAAUUCGACUGUGUGCUUCUUCCCAAAGACGAUGACAGCAUGCCAUGCCGGGCCCGACGAUGUUCGACCGUGUGUGCUGUCCAAAGGCGGUGAUGGCAUGUCACGCCUGACGUCGUUCACCCGUGUGUGCUAUCUAAAGGCGGUGAUGUCAUGUCACGCCUGAGGUCAUUUGACUGCGUUUUCCAUUCAAGGGCUAUGAUGGCAUGUCACGCCCGAAGGUCGUUCGACCGUGUGUGCUGCUGCCCAAAGGCAAUGAUGGAUGCGACGCUUGACGUCGUUCCAUCGUGUGUGCUGUCAAGGCGGUGAUGUCAUGCCACGCCCGACGUCGUUCGACCAUGUGUGCUGCCCAAAGGCGAUGAUGGCAAGCCACGCCCGACGUCGUUCGAUCGUGUGUGCUUCCCAAAGGCGAUGAAUGGCAUGCCACGCCCGACGUCGUUCGACCGUGUGUGCUGUCCAAAGGCGGUGGUGGCAUCUCACGUCCGACAAUCGUUCGACCGUGUGUGCUGUCCAAAGGUCGUGAUGUCAUGCCACACCUGACAUCAUUCGACCGUGUUGCUGCCCAAAGGUGAUGAUGGCAUGGCCAAGCCGACGUCGUUCGACCAUGUGUGCUUCCAAAGGCGGUGAUGGCAUGUCACGCCUGACGUCGUAAAACCGUGUUUGUCGUCCAAGGGCUAUGAUGGCAUGCCACGCCCGACGUCGUUCUAAAAUCUAAGCCGGUGUUCUACCCAAAGGCAAUGAUGGCAUGCCACGCUGACGUCGUUCGAGCGUGUGUGCUGCCCAAAGACGGUGAUGUCAGGCCAUGGUCGACGCACUCCGACCGUGUGUGCUAACCCAAGGGCGGUGAUGUCAUGCCACGCCCGACAUCGUCCGACCUUGUGUCCAGGGCGGUGAUGUCAUGUCACGCCCACAUUGCCUGACCGUGUGUGCAGUCCAAGGGCAGUGAUGUCAUGCCACGCCCGACGUUGCCGACCGUGUGUGUUGUCUAAGGGCGGUGAUGUGUGCUUCUACACCCGACAUCGUCUGACCGUGCAUGCAGUCCAAGCGGUGGUGUCAUGCCACGGCCGACGUCGUUCAACCUUGUGUGUGGUCCAAGGGCGGUGAUUGUCAUGCCACGCCCGACGUCGUCCGACCUUGCGUGUGUUUAAGGGUGGUGGUGGUCAUGCCACGCCUGAUGUCGUUCGACUGUGUGUGAUGCCCAAAGGCGAUGAUGGCAUGCCACGCCCGAGAACGUUCAACCGUGUGUGUUUUCCAAGGCCGUGAUGGCAGGUCACGCCUGACGUCGUACGUUGAGAAAGAGAGGUACAGAGUUAGAGAUUAGAGAUAGAGAGUAUAGAGUUGAGAAAGUAGAAGAUGAAUAGAUGAUUUUGUGAUUUAAAAGAAUGAAAUUUUAUGGUUAUUUAUAGGUAAAAAAUGGGUUAAAGUGUAUUUUUAAACUUUAGGGUAUUAAAAAAGUUAGGGUGGGGUAGGGCUCCUAUUGGCUGAAAUUCUACUCAAAUAUCGUUUGGGGCCCACUAGUCAUUACCCUGCGGCUGGUAACAGAUUUUUUUUUAAAAAAAAAUUUUAACCGAACCGGUCUGGUUAUUACCGAAACCGAUAAAUUCUGAUAUUUACCAAUUUCUAUCCCGGUACCUGUACCGAACUGGAAAUUAACGGUGAUUAACGGUACUAACUGGUACUGAACCGGACCGGGACGAACCGGAUUGGAAUCCGGUAAGUACCGGUUCCACUGCCACGUAUUGACAGGAGUAGAGAUUGAUUUUCUAGAUAAUCAUAUGGAAAUGUACAACCCAAAUAUGCACGUUCUAAGGUACAAACACACAUCAGCUUUCACAAAUGAAUAUAAUAUGUAUAAAAUAUUUUUCAACAUUUUUUUUUAAUUUUUAUUUUUUUUUGAAAUUUAGAGAAAUUAGUAAUAAAUAAAUAAAAAAUAGGGAAAAUAUCGAAAAAAAUAUGAAUCAACUCAGAAAAUUCACAAAUAAAUAUGCGAAUAUAAAAUAAAAAUUUAAUAAAUUUAAAUUUUAAAAGGAGAUGUAAAAAAUUAAAAAUCAUAAAAAUAAAUUAUAAAAAUAAUGAUUAAAAGUCAGAGAAAUAUGGAAAUGCUCGAAAACACUUCUAAACAUGUCAAAUUAAUGAUAAGAUAUAUAUUUGCACAAAUAAAAAAUAUUUCAAUAUCGUACGAACUAUAAAAGUAAUGAAAUGAUGCGAAAGAGCCACGUUAGGCGGAAACAUUAGAGAAUAGAUAAUUGAAAGUAGAUGAAUAUGUUUGUGAUGCAAAAAGGUUCUGUCAAAAUCCUUUGAUUUAUGUACGGCAUGAACAUCCACGCCCGACAUUGUCCAACCGUCUGUGCAGCCCAAAGGCGAUGAUAGCACGCCCGAUGUCGUCCUUCCGUGUUUGCUGUCCCAAGGCGUUAAUGGAAUUCCACGCUGUACGUCGUUCGACCGCGUUUCCCAUCCAAGGGCGAUGAUGGCAUGUCACGCCUGAUGCCGUUCGACUGUGUCAGCUAGUCCAAAGGCGAUGAUGGCAUGCCACGCCGGACUUCGUUCGACCAUGUGUGGUGUCCAAGGGCCAUGACGGCAUGCCACGCCCGACGUUGUUCGACCGUGUGUGCUGUCCAAAGGCAAUGAUGGUAUUCCACGCCCGACGUCGUUCGACCAUGUUUGCCGUCCAUGAACUAUGAUGGCAUGCCACACCUGACGUCAUUUGACCGUGUGUGCUGUCCAAAGGCGGUGAUGUCAUGCCAUGCCCGACGUAGUCCUACCGUGUGUGCUGUCCAAGGGCGGUGAUGGAAUGCAAGGCCCGACGUCAUCCGACCGUGUGUGCUAUACAAGGGCGGUGAUGGCAUGCCACGCCCGACAUUUUACGACCGUCCGUGCUUCCCAAAGGCGAUGAUAGCAUGCCACACCCGAUGUCGUUUGACCGUUUGUGCUGCCAUAAGGGGAUAAUGGCAUGCCACGCCUUACUUCGUUUGACAGUGUGUGCUGCCCAAAGGCGGUGACGUCAUGCCACGCCCGACGUCGUUCGACCGUGUGUGUUGUCCCAAAGCGGUGAUGGCAUGUCACGCCCGAUGUCGUUCCACCUAGUGUGCUGUCCAAAGGGGGUGAAGUCAUGUCACGCCCGACGUCGUUCGACAGUGCGUGCUGUCCAAAGGCGGUGAUGUCAUGACACGCCCGACGUUGCUGAUUGUGCAAGCAUUCCAAGGGCGGUGAUGUCAUGCCACGCUCGACGUCGUUUGACCGUUUGUGCUGCUUUAAGGUGAUGAUGGCAUGACAUGCUCGACAUCGUUCGAUCGUGUGUGCUGCCCCGAGGCGCUGAUAUCAUUCCACGCCCGACGUCGUUCGACCGUGUGUGCUGCCCAAAGGCGGUGAUGUCAUGCCAUGCCCGACGUCGUUUGAUCGUGUGUGCUGUCCAAAGGCGGUGAUGGCAUGUCACGCCCGACGUCGUUCCAUCAUGUGUGUUGUCCAAAGGGGGUGAUUUCAUGUAACGCCCGACGUCGUUCGACCGUGUGUGCUGUCCAUAGGCGGUGAUGUCAUGCCACGCCCGACGUUGCCGACUUUGCAAGCAGUCCAAGGGCAGUGAUGUCAUGUCAUGCCCUACGUCGUUCGACCGUGCGUGCAGUCCAAGGGAGGUGAUGCCAUGCCACGCCGACAUCGUCCGACCGUGUGUGUUGUCCAAGGGUGGUGAUGUCAUGCCACGCCCGACGUUGACGACCGUGUGUGUUGUCCUAGGGUGGUGAUGUCAUGCCACGCCCGAUGUUGCCGGCUUUGUGUUGUCCAAGGGCGGUGAUGUCAUGCCACGCCUGACGUCGUUUGAUUGUGCGUGCAGUCCAAGGGCGGUGAUGGCAUGCCACCCCUAACGUCGUUCGACCGUGUUUUCCGUCCAAGGGCGAUGAUGACCUGCCACGCCCGACGCCGUCCGACUAUGUCAGCUAGUUUAAAAGCAAUGAUGGCCUGCAAUGCCCGACGCCGUCCGACUAUGUCAGCUAGUUUAAAAGCGAUGAUGGCAGGCCACACCCGACGUCGUUCGACUGUGUUUGCCGUCCAAGGGCUAUGAUAGCGUGCCACAUUCGACGUCGUUCGACCGUGUGUGUUAUCCAAGGUCCAUGAUGGCAUGCCACACCAGACGUCAUUUGAUCGUGUGUGCUGCCCAAAGGCGAUGAUGGCAUGUCACGCCUGACGUCGUUCGACCGUGUGUGCUGUUCAAAGGCGGUGAUGUCAUGUCACGCCUAACAUCGUUCGACCGUGUGUGUUGCCCGGCGAUGAUGGCAUGCCACGCCCAAAGUCGUUUAACCGUGUUUGCCGUCCAAGGGAGAUAAAGGCAUGCCAAGCCCGACACCAUCCGACUAUGUGAUCUAGUCCAAAGGCGAUGAUGGCAUGCCACGCCCAACGUCGUUCGACUGUGUGUGCUGCCCAAAGGAGAUGAUGGCAUGCCAAACCCGAUGUUGCCGACCGUGUGUGCUGUCCAAGGGCGGUGAUGUCAUGCCACGCCCGACGUUGUCGACCGUGUGUGCUGUCCAAGGGCAGUGAUAUCAUGCCACGCCCGAUGUUGCCGACCGUGUGUGCUGCCCAAGGGCGUUGAUGUCAUGCCACGCCUGACGUAGUCUGACUAUUUGUGCUGUCCAAGGGCGGUGAUGGAAUGCCACGCCCAACGUUGCCGACUAUGUGUUCUGUCCAAGGGAGCUGAUGUCAUGCCACGCCCGACGUUGCCGACCGUGCAUGCAGUCCAAGGGUAGUGAUGUCAUGCCACGCCCGACGUCGUUUGACCGUUUUUGCCUUAAGGUGAUGAUGGCAUGCCACGCCCGAUGUUGUUCGACUGUGUGUGCUACCCAAACGUGAUGAUGGCAUGCCACGCCCAACGUCAAUCAACCGUGUAUGCUGUCCAAAGGCGCUGAUGGCAUGUCACGCCUGACGUCGUUUGACCGUGUGUGUUGUCCAAAGGCGGUGAUGUCAUGCCAUGCCCGACGUCGUUCGACUGUGUGUGCUGCUCAAAGGAGAUGAUUGCAUGCCACGCCGAACGUCGUUCGACCGUGUGUGGUGUCCAAAAGCGGUGAUGGCAUGUCACACCCGAUAUCGUUCCGCCGUGUGUGUUGUCCAAAGGCGGUGAUGUCUUGCCAUGCCCGACGUCGUUCGACCGUGUGUGCUAUCCAAAGGCGGUGAUAGCAUGUCACGCCCAACUUCGUUCCACCGUGUGUGCUGUCCAAAGGCGGUGAUAUCAUGUCACGCCCGACGUCAUUCGACCGUGUGUGCUGUCUAAAGGCGGUGAUGUCAUGCCACGCCCAACAUUGCUGACCGUGCGAGCAGUCCAAGGGCGGUGAUGUCAUGCCACGUUCGACGUUGUUUGAUCGUUUGUGCUGCCUUAAGGCGAUGAUGGCAUGCCACGCUCGACGUUGUUCAACCGUGUGUGCUGCCCCAAGGCGGUGAUGUUAUGCCACGCCUAACGUCGUUCGACCGUGUGUGCUAUCCAAAGGCAGUGAUGUAAUGCAACGCCUGACGUCGUUUGACCGUUUGUGCUGCCUUAAGACGAUGAUGGCUUGCCAUACCCGACGUCGUUUGACCGUGUGUGCUGUCCAAAGGUAGUGAUGGCCUAUUACGCUCGAUGUCAUUCCACCGUGUGUGCUAUCCAAAGGCGGUGAUGUCAUGCCACGCCCGACGUCGUUCGACCGUGUGUGCUUCCCAAAGGCGAUGAUGGCAUGCCACGCCCAACGUCGUUUGACCGUGUGUGCUGUCAAAAGGCAGUGAUGUCAUGCCACGCCUGACGUAGGCUGACCGUGUGUGCUGUCCAAGGGCGGUGAUGUCAUGCCACGCCCGACGUCGUCCGACCGUUCGUGCAGUCCAAGGGUGAUGAUGUCAUGCCACGCCUGACAUCGUUCGACUUUGUGUCCUGUCCAAGGGCUGUGAUGUCAUACCACGCCCAACGUCGUCCGACCGUGUGUGCUGUCCAAGGGCGGUGAUGUCUUGCCACGCCCAAUGUUGACGACUGUGUGUGUUGUCCAAGGGUGGUGACGUCAUGCGACGCCCGACGUUGCCGGCUGUGUGUUGUCCAAGGGUGGUGAUGUCAUGCCACGCCCGACGUCGUCCAAUCGUGCGUGCAGUCAAAGGGCGGUGAUGUCAUGCCAUGCUAGUCGUCGUUCAACCGUGUGUGCUGUCCAAGGGCGGUGAUGUCAUGCCACGCCCGACGUCGUCCGACCGUGUGUGCUGUCCCAGGGCGGUGAUGGCAUUACAUGCCCAAUGUCGUUCGGCCGUGUGUGCUGUCCAAGGGCGGUGAUGGCAUGCCACGCCUGUUCUGCACAGGUGUUGUCUGAUGCCGCUUGGCCGCAAAUGUGCUGCGUACGCAAACCCAUUUUCCCCUUGACAUCUAACUUGGCUUUAAAAAUUGCACCUGACAUCCCGAAAACCUAUAGUGACAUGUCAUUAGUCCCUUAAUAUGUCAUUAGGCUUGAUAAGUGAACUUAACGUCACGAAAACCUCGCAACGGGGCUUAGUUAUCGGACAAGUGUUUGAUUAUCGUAGAACGUAUAGCACGCGAGCCUCUCUUUUGAAAAGUUAGAAAUGAUUGGAUUUGAUUUUGGGGGAGGGGGUGUGUGGGGGGGACGAAUCGGAGCAACAAAGGGCUGAAUCUCAGUGGAUCGUGGCAGCAAGGCCACUCUGCCACUUAAUAAACCCCGUCGUGUAUUUUAGUCGUCUACAAAGGAUUCUACCCGCCUCUCGAUGGAAAUUGUACUUUAAGGCGGUCACCGCGAUGCUUCCAUCGCAGCGACUUAGCCAACGAUACGUGCCCUUGGAGGCCAUAGGCCCCUACUGCGGUUCGGAAAGCGGACGUCGUGUGCAUGUGUCGUUUCUAGCCCGGAUUCUGACUUAGAGGCGUUCAAUCAUAAUCCAGCACACGGUAGCUUCGCACCACUGGCUUUUCAACCAAGUGCGAUGGCCAAUUGUGUGAAUCAACGUUUCCUCUCGUACUAGGUUGAAUUACUAUUACGACACUGCCAUCAGUAGGGUAAAACUCACAUGUCUCACGACGGUCUAAACCCAGCUCACGUUUCCUAUUGGUGAGUGAACAAUCCAACACUUGGUGAAUUCUGCUUCACAAUGAUAGGAAGAGCCGACAUCGAAGGAUCAAAAAGCAAUGUCGCUAUGAACGCUUUUCUGCCACAAGACAGUUAUCCUAGUGGUAACUUUUCUGACACUUCUAGCUUUGAAUUCCAAAGGUCUAAAGGAUCGUUAGGCCAUGCUUAGACGGUUCGUAUUCGUAAUGGAAAUAAAAAUCAAACAAGCUUUUACCCUUCUUUACCACAUGAGAUUUCUGUUCUCGUUGAGCUCAUCUUAGGACACCUGCGUUAUCUUUUAAAAGAUGUGCCGCCCAAGCGAAACUCCCCACCUGACAAUGUCUUCUGCACGGAUCGGCCCGCGAAGUGAGCCUUUGGUCCAAAAAGAGGGGCAGUGCCCCACUUCCGAUUCACGGAAUAAGUAAAAUAACGUUUAAAGUAGUGGUAUUUCACUUUCGCCUUUCGACUCCCACUUAUAUUACACCUCUCAAGUCAUUUGAUAAAGUCGGACUAGAGUCAAGCUCAACAGGGUCUUCUUUCCCCGCUGAUUCUUCUAAGCCCGUUCGCUUGGCUGUGGUUUCGCUGGAUAGUAGACAGGGACAGUGGGAAUCUCGUUAAUCCAUUCAUGCACGUCACUAAUUAGAUUACGAGGCAUUUGGCUACCUUAAGAGAGUCAUAGUUACUCCUGCCGUUUACCCGCGCUUGGUUGAAUUUCUUCACUUUGACAUUCAGAGCACUGUGCAGAAAUCACAUUGCGUAAACAUCCGUUGCGACCAUCGCAAUGCUUUGUUUAAAUUAAACAGUCGGAUUCCCCUUGUCCGUACAAGUUCUGAGUUGUUUGUUCGACACCCGAAGAAGGCCCCGAAGGAACCGUUCCUAGUCCUUCCCCCGUCCGGCACGCGGCAACACGCUCUCGCCGUGGGAGCAGCUCGAGCAGUCCACCGACAGCCGACGGGUUUGGGACUUGGAUCCCCGUGCACAGCCCUCCAAGCCAAUCCUUUUCCCAAAGGUACGGAUCAAUUUUGCCAACUUCCCUUGCCUACAUUGUUCAAUCGACCAGAGGUUGUUCACCUUGGAGACCUGAUGCGGUUAUGAGUACGAUCGGGCAUGGACGGCAUUCGGUCCUCCAGAUUUUCAAGGGCCGCCGUGAGAGCACCGGACACCACACGAUGUGCGGUGCUCUUCGAGCCGCUGGACCCUACCUCAGGGUGAGCCGAUUCCAGGGUGGGAAGGCUGUUAAAUAUAAAAGAUAACUCUUCCCGAGGCUCCCGCCGACAUCUCAGGAUAGGCCCCUAGCCGUACAUGGCCUUACGUGCGGUGCAUGUGGCCCCUAGAGUUAGCCGUAACAGGAGCUCUAGAACUCACCACUCGCAAAAAGCACUGCCGUUUCCACACCAAACGCCAUUAUAAACGGAUCUUGAGAAGUUCCCUCGGCAGCGCACGGUCGCCCCGCAGACGUCGCUGGCAUGUUUUUGUAAGCGCCCAAAGGCAUAGCACGGACGAGCCAUGCAUGUCGUCAAGCGCCCACGCAACACGCCUACUAAGCCCACAUGACGCCCUUGAUGUCUGCCUGCUUUUGCCUCAGUUGCCCUGCAGACGUCGCUGGCAUGUUUUUGUUGACACCCAACGGCGUAGCACGGACAAACCAUGCAUGCCGUCAAGCGCCCGUGCAGCACACCUACUAAGCCCAUAGGACGCCCAUGUCCACCUGCCACCGCCUCAAAUGCCUCGCAGACGUUGCGGGCUCAUUUUGUAAACUCCAAAUGGCGUAGCACGGACGAGCCAUGCAUGCCAUCAAGCGCCCACGCAGCGCGCCUACUAAGCCCACAGGACGCCCUUGACGUUCGCCGUCCUUCACCGCAACCGCCCCGCAAACGUCGCUAGCACAUUUUUGUAGAUGCCCAACGGCGUAGCACGGACGAGCCAUGCAUUGCAUCAAGCACCCACGCAGUACUCCUACUAAGCCAAUAGGACGCCCUUGACGUACUCCUGCCUUUGCCUCACUUGACCCGUAGACAUCGCCGACGUGUUUUUGUAAAUGCCCAACAAUGUAGCACGAACAAGCCAUGCAUGCCAGCAAGCGCCCACGCAACACGCCUACUAAUUCCACAGGAUGCCUAUGCCGUCUGCCUGCCUGCGCCUCAGUCUGCCUCCAACACCUCUACCCCCCUUAUAUGCUUAAAAAAGUUUUACCCAUGUGACAGGAGUAGACAUGGAUUUUCCAGAAAAUCAUAAUGGAAAUGUACAACCCAAAUAUGCACGUUCAAAGGUAGAAACACACAUUAGCUUUCAUAAAUGACUUCAAUAUAUAUAAAAAAAUAUUUUUCAAUAUUAUUUUUAAUUUUUAUUUUUUUUGAAAAUUCUGAAAAAUUAGUAAUAAAUUAAUAAAAAAUAGGGAAAAUUUCAGAAAAAAUAUGAAAUCAACUCCGAAAGUUCACAAAUAAAUAUGGGAACCUUAAAAUAAAAAAUUUAAUAUAUUUUAGUUUUUAAAAGGAGACGUAAAAAAUUAAAAAGCGUAAAAAAAAAUUAUAAAAUAAUGAUUAAAUGUCGGAAAAAUAUAGAAAUGCUCGAAAACACUUCUAAACAUGUCAAAUUAAUGAUAAAAUAUAAAUUUGCACAAAUAAAAGAUGUUUCAAUAUCAUACGAACUAUAAAAGUAAUAAAAAUGAUGCAAAAGAGCCACGUUUGGUGGAAACGUUAGAGAAUAGAUAAUGGAAAGUCGAUGAAUAUGUUUGUUAUUCAUGGAGGUUGUAUUGAAAUCCUUUGAUUUAUGUACGACAUGAACAUCUGCAUCUAUCGUUUAGAACUCAAACAAUGUCGCGCAAGCCAAGACCGAUGCUGGCAGGCCACGGCUGACCAUUGUGUGCAGGCACGUCCGACGAUGGCCGACCAUUUGUGCUUUCCAAGGGAUAUGAUGGCAUGCCACGCCCGACGACGGCCGACCGUCUGUGCUGUCCAAGGGCGAUGAUGGCAAGCCACGCCCGACGCAGUCUUACCAUCUGUGCUGCCCAAGGGCGAAGAUGGCAUGCCACGCCCGGCGUCGCCCGACCGUGUCAGCUAGUCCAAAGGCAAUGAUGGCAUGCGAUGCCCGAUAUCAUCCGACCGUGUCAGCUAGUCCAAAGGCGAUGAUGGCAUGCCACGUCCGACGUUGUCCGACCGUGUGUGCUAUCCAAGGGCUAUAAUGGCAUGCCACGCCCGACGACGGCAGACCCUCCGCGCCCUCCUACUCAUCGGGGCCUGGCACUUGCCCUGACGAUCAGGUGUAGAUCGCGCGCUUAAGCUCCAUCCAUUUUCGUGGCUAGUUGAUUCGGCAGGCGAGUUGUUACACACUCCUUAGCGGAUUUCGACUUCCAUGACCACCGUCCUGCUGUCUUAAUUGACCUACACCCUUUGUGGGAUCUUGGUUAGCGCGUAGUUUGGCACCAUAACCCGGCUUCCAAUUCAUCCUGCAUCACAAAUUCUGCUUACCAAAAAUAGCGCACUUGGAGCUCUUGAUUCCGUGGCGCGACUCAACAAAGCAGUCGCAUCAUCCUACCUAUUUAAAGUUUGAGAAUAGGUCGAGGGCGUUACGCCUCCAAGGCCUCUAAUCAUUGGCUUUACCCGAUAGAACUCGCAUGCGAGCUCCAGCUAUACUCAAGGAAACUUUAGACGGAACCAGCUAUUAUACGGUUCGAUUAGUCUUUCGCCCCUAUACCAAAGUCAGACGAUCGAUUUGCACGUCAGUAUGGCUGCGGGCCUCCACCAGAGUUUCCUCUGGCUUUACCCCGCUCAGGCAUAGUUCACCAUCUUUCGGGUCCCGACAGGUAUGCUAACAGUCGAACCCUUCUCAGAAGAUCAGGGUCGGCCGGCGGUGCACCCCUCAGGGGGAUCCAAUCAAUCAGCUUCCUUACGCCUUACGGGUUUACUCGACCGUUGACUCGCACACAUGUCAGAUUCCUUGGUCCGUGUUCCAAGACGGGUCAAAUAGGGAGCCCACAAGCCAGCGUCCGGAGCGCGCAGAUGCCGAAGCACGCCGGAGGCGCACACUGCCUUCCACAAUCGGGGAGACGGCGUUCCAUGGUCGUAUCGAGAGCCCGAGCUUUGUCCUUCCCCCAAUCCACGUUGGUCCACGCCCCGAGACGAUCGACAGACCGGCUCGUCACCGUUCCACAUCCGAUCGUGGCGCAUCACCGGCCUCCAUCCGCUUCCCUCCCGAUAAUUUCAAGAACUCUUUGACUCUCUUUUCAAAUUCCUUUUCAUCUUUCCCUUGCGGUAGUUGUUCGCUAUCGGUCUCUCGCAAGUAUUUAGCAUUGGACGGAAUUCACCCUCCGAUUUAGGCUGCAUUCCAAAACAACCCAACUCGUAGACAGAGCCUCGUGGUGCGACAUGGUCCGGGCACGACAGGGAUCUCACCUUGUCCGGCCCCCCUUCCAGGUGACAUGGGCCCGAUCCGCCGCUGAAGACGCUUCUCCAAACUACAAUUCGGACAACAAAGACGCCUGAUUCUGAGGCUGGGUUGUUCCCGGUUUGCUCGCCGUUAUUAGGGGAAUCCUUGUAAGUUUCUUUUCCUCCGCUUAUUGAUAUGCUUACACUCAGCGGGUAAUGCCGCCUGACCUGGGUCGCGGUCGGAGCGCCUGGUGAGGCGCAGUGAGGGUCGGGGAGUCCAGACGCGCAACGGGCUGUAGUCGCGACAACUAGAGAGAAUUGAGUUUCAACAACCCCUUGCCGCGACGUCCGUCGACGUGGACUCACAUUUAGGCCGGGCGCACGGGAGGCCAGCUUUCUCCCCCGCGCUCAGCCUUGCGACGUGCUGGGGAGGGCAACGCGAUGCGUGACGCCCAUGCAGACGUGCCCUCGGCCAAAUGGCUUCAGGCACAACUUGCAUUCAAAGACUCGAUGGUUCACGAGAUUCUGCAAUUCACACCAAGCAUCGCAUUUCGCUACCUUCUUCAUCGAUGCGAGAGCCGAGAUAUUAGUUGUCAAGAGUCGUUUGUGUUAUCAGCGCAGCGCGCAUCCCCCCAUGAUCCGUGAACAAGGCACGAGGGGAGGGCUGUCGAUUGUUGUAUUCCUUGGCGCUUUCUGCUCCAGGGUUCGGUGGUCGCCCAAAGAGCUUGAGCGCGUUGGGCGACAAGAGGGAGGCGCGCAACGAGCAUGCGCCUCCCCCAGGUGUUUAAAACGAGUUCGCAGGUCGUUUUGCUGUGCAGGUUUUGACAAUGAUCCUUCCGCAGGUUUACCUAUGGAAACCUUGUUACUACUUCUCCUUCCUCUAAAUAAUAAGGUUCAAUGGACUUCUCGCGACGUCGCGGGCAGUGAACCGCCCAUGUCGCCGCGAUCUGAACAUUUCACCGAAUCAUUCAAUCGGUAGGAGCAACGGGCGGUGUGUACAAAGGGCAGGGAUGUAGUUAACACGAGCUGAUGACUCGCGCUUACUAGGAAUUCCUCGUUGAAGACCAAUAAAUGCAAUGAUAUAUCCCUAUCAUGAUGAAAUUUCAAAGAUUACCCGGGCUUGUCGGCCAAGGCUAUAAGCUCAUUGAAUAAUCAGUGUAGCGCGCGUGGCGGCCCAUAACAUCUAAGGGCAUCACCGACCUGUUAUUGCCUCAAACAUCCGCGGCCUAAAAUGUCGUAGUCCCUCUAAGAAGCUGGCCGCGAAGGGAUACCUCCGCAUAGCUAGUUAGCAUGAUGAGGUCUAGUUCGUUAACGGAAUUAACCAGACAAAUCGCUUCACCAACUAAGAACGGCCAUGCACCACCAUCCGUAGAAUCAAGAAAGAGCUCUCACUCUGUUAAUCCUUACUAUGUUUGGGACCUAGUAAGUUUUCCCCGUGUUGAGUCAAAUAAAGCCGCAGGCUCCACUCCUAGUGGUGCCCUUCCAUCAAUACCUUUAAGUUUCAGCCUUGCAACCAUACUCCCCCCGGAACCUAAAAACUUUGAUUUCUCAUAAGGUGGCGACAGAGUCCUAAAUGCAACAUCCGUCCAUCCCUAGUCGACAUCAUUUAUGGUUGAGACUAGGACGGUAUCUGAUCAUCUUCGAGCCCCCAAAUUUCGUUCUUGGUUAAUGAAAAUAUUCUUGGCAAAUGCUUUCGCAGUUGUUCAUCUUUCAUAAAUCCAAGAAUUUCACCUCUGACUAUGAAAUACGAAUGCCCCUGACUGUCCUUGUUAAUCAUUACUCCGAUCCUGAAGGCCAACGUAAUAUGACCGAAAUCCUAUAAUUUUAUCCCAUGCUAAUGUAUACAGAGCAUAGUGUGAUGUCCCGCCAUCCAUCCAGGCAGAACGCCACUCAACCUGGCAGCCAGCAGCAGGUGCAAGGGGGCAGACAGCCCCAGCCGGCCAGCAGGCCAAGGGGUAGGCAGCAGUUGGAGAGGCAGCCGUUACAACAGUUUCAGCUGUUACGGUAGUUACAGUCGUUACAGCUAUUACAGCAGGUAGUGGGGCGGUAGUUACUAGCAUUGAAGAGGCUUGUUCAAGGCCUCUAGGCAUUAGGGCAGACUAUGAGCAUCUAGGAGUCCUUUUUGGAUGACUUAGAAGCAUGUCUUGUAGGCAUAGACAUAGGAACUUGUAUAGUGUAGCAUUUACUAACUCUUAGGCAUUAGAGUAGUAUAAAUAGUAGUUCAUUUUGCUUGUAAAGCAUCCAAUAAUUUCAGCAAGUAAUAGAAGUUCCUUCUUCCAAAAUUCUGUCUACUUCUUAUUUUCUCAGCGAUCCGAGUGAGAGGCUAACUUGAGUUUGCAAGAACGUGCAAGAAUCAUGAGUAAACCGUCAAGUGCCGCACGGAGUAUUGUCCAAAUCAAAAAGUCCGUGACAAUUGGUAUCAGAGCAGGUUUAUCAUAAGAGAAUGACGAACGAAGGAGACGGAAGCGGCACUAGCAACACCCCUAACGCUCAGGUAGUAAAGAAGAACAAGAAAGGGAAGAAGAAGCAGAAGGGAAAUGAACCCAAUCUGCCCAAUCUGCCCGAUCUUCCACCCACUGAUCGUCCACCUACUGAUCUUCCACCAGGCGGUCUUCCAUCAGGAAGUCUUCCACCAGGCGGUCUUCCACCAGGCGGUCUUCCAUCAGGCGGUCUACCACCAGAUUUUCCUCCACCAAGCGAUGGACAAACAUCUUUCUAGCAUAAUAUUGUCGAUCGAAGUGACGACGACGACAGUGAAGAUACCAUCGACAUCACUGUUGGACAUGAAUGGCUAGAAAGCGUCAAGAGGGCAAGGCUAGCUGUUGAGAUUUUAGGCCAGCGCUUGAAUGGGUUGGACGGUGAUGUCAAAGACCUUGAAGAGCACUCCCUUGAGGAAGUUGACGCCAUUCGGAAGGAGUUGGAGGUACACAAGCGGUUUGAUUUAGCAAUGAAGGAAACCAUUACUUCCUUGGAGUUCAGAUUUUUUGACGCCCUUACGACUAUCCAGAAGCUGAAGAACAAGGUUGAAGCUCUCGAAGAAGAGAGGGAGGUUGGAGCAUAAACAUCACUUGGCUAGGAAAGGGAGUCCAGAGUCGAGGUUCCCAAGCCACCAACAUUCAAGGGUGUCUGCGACGCCCUAGAGGUAGGAAAUUUCCUAUGGCACUUGGAAAAUUAUUCCAGGUGUAAUCGGGUCAGGAGCGAUGCAAACAAGAUCAACACUGCCGUGUUGUAUCUUUCCGAUGUAACCAUGUUGUGGUGGAAAUGCAAAGAUGCCGAGAUCAAGAGGGGCCCACGCACCAUCAACACAUGGGAACAAUUCCUUGAGGAAUUCAAGAAAGCUUUCUUCCUCAACAAUGUUGUUUAUGAAAUGAAACGCAAAACUUCGGGAGUUGAAGCAGACGGGAAGUAUUAGGGCAUAUAUGAAAGAGUUCACAAUCUUGACCCUCAAAAUUCCCCAACUCACGGAAGAUGACAUGCUAUUCACUUUCAUGGACGGGCUGCAGAAUAUGGAGAGGACCGAGUUAGAGCGGCGUCAAGUAAAAACCAUUGAUGAAGCCAUCACUCAAGCCAAAACCUUGACAGAUUUCAAACAUGAUCGUUUGGACAAGGCGAAGGGCUAGGAGGCAAGGAGUAGUCAAGAUAAAGGCGGGGGAGACCAUGGCCGAGGCAGAGAACAAUCGACACAUCCCAAGCAGCAAGACAUGCCCAAGCCCGAUGGUAGACGAUUUGAACGUCAGAAGUACUCGGAGAAGCGGACGCGUUCCAGCAAAGGAGACGGGUGCUAUAUAUGCAGCGGACCACACGGUUAUGCCAGGUUCCCAUAGAUGAAGAGCCUUAGUGCCAUCGUCCGUGACCGGAAGGAAAAGAAGGCACAAGACAAGGCGAAAUCGGCGGACACCACUAAGUUGGGCAUGGUUUGAAUCUGUGGAUCCAUAGCCAAACAGGCCGACAACUCGGGGGAUUUCAGUACGCAAUAUAUGGAUAUCUCCAUCAAUGGGCAACCAGUUCGGGCCAUGGUAGAAUCCGGGGCUGAAGCCAACAUCAUGACCAAGACGGCGGCAGAGAAAUUGGGACUGAAAAUUGUUCCAAGUAACAAUCGUCUCAAGACGGUCAACGCCCCACCAACUCCCGUAUGUGGAAUUGCUCAUGGGGUCAGCAUCACUUUAGGACGGUUGAGAGGUAAGACGAAUUUUACCAUAGCUUCUUUUGACAUAUCCAAUGUUAUUCUUGGACAGGAAUUCUUUCAGCGUUGCCACACGAUGAUUGAUCCCUACCUUCAACAACUCAUGGUGAUGGAAGGGGAAGGGUCUUGUAUGGUGCCUCUUGUUAGGGUGCCGAAGAAUGACGGAUAUGCCUAAUUUUCGGCCAUGCAGAUUGUGAAGGGCCUGAAGAAAGGAGCACCAACCUUCUUAGCCACCAUCGCAAGUUCGGGUAAAGACCAUGGUGCUAUGGAGCCAUUGCCACCUAUCAUAGAAACUGUUUUGCAGGAAAACAGUGAUGUGAUGCCGAGGAGCUGCCAAAAACUCUAUCUCCAAGGCGUGAGGUAGACCACAUGAUCGAGUUGGAGGCGGGAGCCAAGCCACCUGCGCUUGCACCUUGUCACAUGGCUCCGCCUGAGUUAGAGGAACUGAGGAAGCAGUUGAAGGAGCUCCUCGAAGAAGGUCACAUUCGUCCAUCCAAGGCACCCUAUGGAGCGCCGCUGUUGUUUCAGAAAAACAAAAGAUGGGUCGAUGCGUCUAUGCAUUGACUACAGGGUGCUCAACAAGAUCACAAUUUGGAACAAGUAUCCAAUCUCGCUGAUCGCAGAUUUGUGUGAUUGUCUUGGAGAGGCCAAGUACUUCACCAAGAUGGAUCUCCGGAAAGGCUACUAUCAAGUGCGCAUUGCAGAGGGGGAUGACCCAAAGAUAGGCUGCGUGACCAGGUAUGGAGCAUUCGAAUGGUUGGUGAUGCCCUUCGGCUUAACCAACGCACCUGCCGCAUUUUUCACGCUGAUGAACAAGAUUUUACAUCCCUACUUGGACCAGUUCGUAGUAGUGUACUUAGAUGACAUAGUCGUCUAUAGUAGCACUUUGCAGGAACAUGUGGAGCACUCUAAGAAGGUCUUCAAAGUCUUGCGGGAGAAUCAGCUUUAUGUCAAGCGGGAGAAGUGCGAGUUCGCCCAACCAAAGUUACACUUCUUGGGCCAUGUGAUCAGCCAAGGUGAACUUCGUAUGGAUGAGGCAAAGGUAAAGGCUAUCCAAGAUUGGGAAGCGCCUACGAAAGUGACCGAGCUACGUUCUUUUCUUGGACGAGCUAUUUUCAAUCACAGAAGAAGAUCACACCAAAGCAGGCUCGUUGGCAGGAUUUCUUGGCAGAAUUUGACUACAACUUGGAGUACAAACCAGGAAGGGGCAAUGUGGUAGCCGAUGCAUUGAGCAGGAAGACUCAUUUAGCGGCCAUCUCCUCAGUCUGUAGUGAAUUCCAAGGCGCAAUCAAAGAUGGUAUGCAACGCGAUCCGGAAGCCAAGAAGAUUAUGCAGCUGGCUGCUAAAGGCCAAACCAAACGAUUUUGGGUAGAAGAUUGAUUCUUGCUUACAACUGGCCAGAGGAUUUAUGUACCAAAGUUCGGAUUCAUCAGGCGGUGAAUUAUCAAAGAAAGCCACGACACUACGUGGGCUGGACAUCCAGGACAGAAGAGAAUGAGGGCAUUAGUGGAGGCCUUCUAUUUCUGGCCACGAAUGUGGGAAGAGAUCGAGCAGUAUGUGCAGAGUUGUCUUGUGUACCAGCAAGACAAGGUGGAGCAAAAGCAACCAGGAGGGAUUUUGGAGCCAUUACCCAUAGUUGAUCGUCCAUGGGAGAGUAUAUCUAUGGAUUUCAUCACUUCUUUGCCGAAGUCAAACGGGUUUGGCACGAUUAUGGUCGUAGUGGAUAGAUUCUCCAAGUAUGCUAAUUUCAUGCCUACCACAACCGGUUGUACUGCUAAGGAAGUUGAACAAUUUUUUUUCAAAAAUGUUGUUAAGUAUUGGGGGCUGCCGAGGUUCAUCAUUAGCGAUCGGGAUCCUCGUUUCACAGGGAACUUUUGGAGUGAACUCUUUGAAAUUCUUGGUUCAAAACAUCACUUCUCCACAAGUUUCCACCCCCAAACUUAUGGCCAAACUGAACGCGUCAACGCCUUGUUGGAAUGCUAUCUUAGGCACUAUGUAAGUGCACAUCAGAAAGAUUGGGCUAAGAUCCUAGAAAUGGCGCAAUUUUCUUACAAUUUGCAGAGGAGUAAAUCUACAGGGCGCACACCGUUCGAGUUAGCAACAGGCCAGCAACCCCAAACUCCGCACUCACUUCCAACCUGUUUUGAAGGGAAGAGUUUGGGCGCUUACAACCUUGCCAAGGGUUGGGAAGAACAACUCGACCUUGCCAAAUCUUAUUUGGGCAAGGCGGCAAGAAGGAUGAAGAAGUUUACCGACCGCAAGUGUCGUCCCACCAACUACAAAAAAGUUGAUAUGGUUUUGGUAAAGUUUAAUCCGAGGCAGUUUAAGGCACUUAGAGGCAUACAUCACAACUUGGUGCGGAAAUAUGAGGGUCCGUUCAAAAUUGUUGCCAAGGUGGGUAAAAUUUCAUACAAGUUGGAGUUACCUCCACACUUAAGGAUCCACCUGGUCUUUUAUGCACGCGUUCUUAAGCCUUAUCAUAAGGAUAAGGACGAUCCCAGCCGGAACAAAUCACAAUGGGCCCGGCCCCUAUCACCGUUACUGCCUCGCAUGAUCAAGAAAUUGAAGCUAUAAUAUAUUACCAAGCCAAACGGAAACAAGGACAGCAGGCAAGUGCCAUGUUUCUUGUACAUUCUAAGGGACAAACUCUUGAAGAAGCCACUUGGGAGAAGUAUGAAGACUUGUGGCAGUUCAAAGACAAAAUUCAGGAUUUCUUGCAGCAAUGCGUCGCGGUCGUCGCAUCAUUGGAUGGGGGAGAUUGUGACGUCCCGCCAUCCAUCCAGGCAGAACGCCACUCAAUCUGGCAUCCAGCAGCACGCGCAAGGGGCAGACAGCCCAAGCCGGCCAGCAGGCCAAGGGGCAGGCAGCAGUUGGAGAGGCAGCCGUUACAACAGUUUCAGCUGUUACGGCAGUUACAGCCGUUACAGCUGUUACAACAGGUAGUGGGGCGGCAGUUACAAGCAUUGAAGAGGCUUGUUCAAGGCCUCUAGGCGUUAGGGCAGACUAGGAGCAUCUAGGAGUCCUUUUUGAAAGACUUAGAAGCAUGUCUUGUAGGCAUAGACUUAGGAACUUGUAUAGUGUAGCAUUUACUAACUCUUAGGCAUUAGAGUAGUAUAAUAGUAGUUCAUUUUACUUGUAAAGCAUCCAAUAAUUUCAGCAAGUAAUAGAAGUUCCUUCUUCCAAAAUUUUGUCUACUUCUUAUUUUCUUAGCGAUCCAAGUGAGAGGCUAACUUGAGUUUGCAAGAACGUGCAAGAAUCAUGAGUAAACCGUCAAGUGCCACACGGAGUAUUGUCCGAAUCAAAAAGUCCGUGACAGUAGGCUUUCUUUGAGCACUCUAAUUCUUCAAAGUAACAACGUCGGAGGCAUGACCCGGCCAUUAAACGCCAUGAGCGCAUCACCCGACAGAAGGGACGAGAUGACCGGUGCACAUCUAGGGCGGACCAGCCAGCCCAUCCCAAAGUCCAACUACGAGCUUUUUAAUUGCAACAACUUAAAUAUACGCUAUUGGAGAUGGAAUUACUGCGACUGCUUGCACCAGACUUGCCCUCCAAUGGAUCCUCGUUAAGGAAUUUAGAUUGUACUCAUUCUAAUUACAAAACUCAUGGAGCCCAGUAUUGUUAUUUAUUGUCACUACCUCCCCGUGUCAGGAUUGGGUAAUUUGCGCACCUGCUGCCUUCCUUGGAUGUGGUAGCCGUUUCACAGGCUCUCUCUCCGGAAUCGAACCCUAAUUCUCUGUCACCCGUCACCACCAUGAUAGGCCACUAUCCUACCAUCAAAAGUUCAUAGGGCAGAAAUUUGGAUGAUGCGUCGCCGGCACGAUGGCCGUGCGAUCCGUCGAGUUAUUAUGAAUCAUCACAGCAACUGGCGAGGGAAUGCGUGGGAUGCGAAAGCGUCUUUUGGGUUCACCCCGCACAUGAGACUCGAAGGGAGAAAGGUGACCAUUUGUGAGUGCACAAUGCCUAGGCAUUAGGUAUGCAGCACAGGAUUCCGACGUCCGACCAUCCUAGAUUGCACUUCAUCCACCACCGAAUUGGCAUGUGAGUUAAGACAUCGCUUCUCAAAACAGGGAUCCAACCUACCAACAAAUGCCCAAUACCACUGAUGCGCCAUAGAAAAAUAGCUUUGUUAAUGCACGCUCGACAUCCACCCGAUGCCCGACAUGAGAUGUCGUGCGAAGACGCCGAUGCCUUCUUUGCAAGGCCAAUGCUACACCCUCCGUUGCACUCCUGCCCAAGGGAGUUGAGAAUUUAAUCACUGCAAAGAUUGUUGGAGGAAGACCAAGGUUCACACAAGGGAACCGCCCACGACGUCAUUCGACCGUGUGCGCUGUCCAAAGGUGAUGAUAGCAUGCCACGCCCGACGUUGUUUGACCGUGUUUUCCAUUCAAGGGCUAUGAUGGCAUUCCAAGCUCGAAGUCGUUCGACCGUCUAUGCUGCCCAAAGGCGAUGAUUGCAUGCCACGCUAGACGUCGUUCGACCAUGUGUGCUAUCAAAAGGCGGUGAUGUCAUGCCACGCUCGACAUCGUUGGACCAUGUGUACUGCCCAAAGGCUAUGAUUGCAUGCCACGCCCGACGUCGUUCGACCGUGUUUCCAUCCAAGGGCAAUGAUGGCAUGCCAAGCCCGAUGCCGUCCUACUGUGUGAGCUAGUCCAAAGGCGAUGAUGGCAUGCCACGCCCGAAAUUGUUCGAAUGUUUGUGCUGCCCAAAGGCGAUGAUGGCAUGCCACACCUAACAUCGUUCGACCGUGUGUGCUGCCCAAAGGCGAUGAUGGCAUGCCACGCCCGACGUCGUUUGACCGUGUAUGCUGUCCAAAGGCAGUGAUGGCAUCUCACGCCCAACGUCGUUGGACCGUGUGUGCUGUCCAGAGGUGGUUAUGUCAUGCCACGGCUGACGUCGUUUGACCGUGUGUGCUACCCAAAGGCGAUGAUGGCACGCCAAGCCCGACGUUGUUCGAUCAUGUGUGCUUUCCAAAGGCGGUGAUGGCAUGUCACGCCUGACGUCGUAAGACCGUGUUUGUCGUCCAAGGGCUAUGAUGGCAUGCCACACGCGACGUCGUUUUACCGUGAGUUCUGCCCAAAGGCGAUGAUGGCCUGCCACGCCUGACGUCGUUCGAGCGUGUGUGCUGUCCAAAGGUGGUGAUGUCAUGCCAUAGUCGACGCACUCCGACCGUGUGUGCUACCCAAGGGUGGUGAUGUCAUGCGACGCCUGAAAUCGUAUGACCGUGUGUCCAAGGGCAGUGAUGUCAUGCCACGCCCGACGUUGCUGAUUGUGUGUGCUGUCCAAGGGCGGUGAUGUCAUGUCACACCCGACGUUGCUGACCGUGUGUGUUGUCCAAGGGCGGUGAUGUGCUGCCACACCUGACGUCGUCUGACUGUGCAUGCAGUCCAAGCAGUGGUGUCAUGCAACGUCCGACGUCUUUCAACCUUUUGUGCUAUCCAAGGGCGGUGAUGUCAUGCUAUGCCCGACGUCGUCCGACCUUGCGUGUAGUCCAAGGGUGGUAAUGUCAUGCCACGCCUGAUGUUGUCCGACCGUAUAUGCUGUCCAAGGGCGGUAAUGGCAUGCAACGCCCGACAUCGUCCGACCAUGUGUGCUAUUCAAGGGCGGUGAGGCAUGUCACGCCUGACGUCAUUCGGCCAUUUGUGCUGUCCAAAGGCAGUGAUGUCAUGCCACGCCUGAUGUCGUUCGACCCUGUGUGCUGCCCAAAGGCAAUGAUGGCAUGCCACGCCCGACGUCGUUCAACCGUGUGUGCUUUCCAAAGGCCGUGAUCGCAUGUCACUCUUGUCAUUGUACGUUGAGAAAGAGAGUACAGAGUUAGAGAUUAGAGAUAGAGAGUAGAGAGUUGAGAGAGUAGAAGAUGAAUAGAUGAUUUUGUGAUUUAAAAGAAUGAAAUUUAGGGGUAUUUUUUGGUAAAAAAAUGGUUUAAAGUGUAAUUUUUAAAACUUUAGGGUAUUAAAAAAGUUAGGGUGGUGUAGGGAUCCUAUUGGCUGAAAUUCUACUCAAAUAUCGUUGGGGGCCCCACUAGCCUAUACCCGACGGCUGGUAAUGGAUUUAUUUUUUUUUAAAAAAAAUUUAACCGAACCGGUCGGUUAUUACCGAAACCGAUAAAUUUUAGUAGUUACCAAUUUCCGUCCCGGUACCUGUACAGAAACCAUAAAUUAACGGUGAUUAAUGGUACUAACUGGUACUGAACCGGACCGGGACAGACCGGAUUGGAAUCCGGUAAGUACCAGUUCCGCUGCCACGCAUAGACAAGAGUAGACAUUGAUUUUCUAGAGAAUCAUAAUGGAAAUGUACAACCUAAAUAUGCAUGUUCUAAGGUACAAACACACUUCAGCUUUCACAAAUGACUUUAAUAUGUAUAAAAAAUAUUUUUCAACAUUUUUUUUAAUUUUAAUUUUUUUUGAAAAUUCCAAAAAUUAGUAAUAAAUUAAUAAAAACAGGGAAAAUAUCGAAAAAAAUAUGAAAUCAACUCCGAAAAUUCACAAAUAAAUAUGAGAACCUUAAAAUAAAAAAUUUAAUAAAUUUUAAUUUUUAAAAGGAGAUGUAAAAAAUUAAAAAGCGUAAAAAUAAAUUAUAAAAUAAUGAUUAAAAGUUAGAAAAAUACGAAAAUGCUCGAAAACACUUCUAAACAUGUCAAAUUAAUGAUAAGAUAUAUAUUUGCACAAAUAAAAAAUAUUUCAAUAUCGUACAGACUAUAAAAGUAAUGAAAAUGAUGCGAAAGAGCCACGUUAGGCGGAAACAUUAGAAAAUAGAUAAUUGAAAGUAGAUGAAUAUGUUUGGGAUGCAAAAAGGUUCUUUCAAAAUCCUUUGAUUUAUGUACGGCAUGAACAUCCGCAUGUUUCGUCUAGAACUCUUACAAUGUCGCGCAAGCCACGACUGAUGCGGGCAGGACAUGGCCUACCGUUGUGUGCAGGCGCGUCCGACGACGGCCGUCCGUUUGUGUUGUCCAAGGGCUAUGAUGGCAUGCCAUGACCGAAGUCGUCCGACCGUGUAUGCUGCACAAGGGCGAAGAUGGAAUACCACGCCCGACGUUAUCUGACCGUGUUAUCUAUACCAAAGGUGAUGAUGGCAUGCGACGCCCGAUGUCGUCCGACCGUGUCAGCUAGUCCAAUGGCGACGAUGGCAUGACACGCCCAACGUGCUCCGACCGUGUGUGCUGCCCAAGGGCUAUGAUGGCAUGCCACGCCCAACGACGGCUACCGUCUGUGCUGUUCAAAGGCGAUGAUGGCAUGCCACGCCCGACGUCGUCCGACCGUGUGUGCUGUCCAAGGGCAAUGAUGGCAUGCAACGCCCGACGACGGCCGACCAUCUGUGCUGUCCAGCGGUUAUGAUGGCAUGCCACGCCUAACGCUGUCCGACCGUCUGUGCUGCCCAAAGGCGAUGAUGGCAUGCCACGCCUGGCGUCGUCCGACUGUGUGUAUUGUCCAAAGGCGUGAUGGCAUGCCAUGCCGACGUCGUUCGACCGUGUUUGCUGUCAAAGGGAGAUGAUAGCGUGCCACGCCCGACGCCGUCUGAUUGUGUCCGUUAGUCCAAAGGAGAUGAUGGCAUGCCACUCCCGACGUCUUUCUACUGUGUUUUCCGUCCAAGGGCUAUGAUAGCAUGCAACGCCCGACGUUGUUCGACUGUGUGUGCUGUCCAAGGUCCAUGAUGGCAUGCCACGCCGACGUCGUUCGACCGUGUGUGCUGUCCAAAUGCCAUGAUGGCAUGCCACGCCCCAAGGGAGAUGAUGGAAUGCCAUGCCCGACACCGUCCUACUGUGUGAGCUAGUCCCAAGGCGAUGAGGGGAUGCCACGCCUGACGUCGUUCGACCGUUUGUGUUGCCAAAAGGCGAUGAUGGAAAGCAACGCCCUACGUCUUUCGAACGUGUGUGAUACCCAAGGGUGGUGACGUUGCCGACCGUGUGUGCUGUCUAAGGGUUGUGAUGGCAUGCCACGCCCAACGUCGUUCGACCGUGUGUGUUGUCCAAGGGUGGUGAUGUCAUGCCACGUCCGUCCAUGAGUGCAGUCAAAAAGCGGUGAUGUCAUGCAACACCUGACGUCGUCCGACCGUGUGUGUUUUCCAAGGGCGGUGUUGGUAUGCCACGACCGACAUCAUCUGACCGUGUGUGCUGUCCAAGGGCGGUGAUAGUAUGCCACUUACAACGUCGUUCGAUCGUCUGUGCUGCCCAAAGGCGAUGAUGGCAUGACAAGCCCAACAUCGUCCGACCGUGUGUGGUGUCCUAAGGCAGUGAUGGCAUUCCACGCCCGACGUUGUUCGACCGUGUUUCCUAUCCAAGGGCGAUGAGGGCAUGCCACGCCAGACGUCGUCCAACUGUGUCAGCUAGUCCAAAGGCGAUGAUGGCAUGACACGCCUGACGUCGUUCGAUCGUAUUUGCCGUCUAAGGGCUAUGAUGGCAUGCCAUGCCGGACGUCGUUUGACCGUGUCUGCUGUCAAAGGGCCAUGAUAGCAUGCCACGCCCGACGUCGUUCGACCGUGUUUGCCGUCCAAGGGCUACGAUGGCAUGCCAUGCCAACGUUGUUCGACCGUGUGUGCUGCCCAAAGGCGAUGAUGGCAUGCCAUGCCCGACGUCGUUCGAUCGUGUGUGCUGUCUAAAGGCGGUGAUGUCAUGCCACGCAUGACGUCUUUCGACCGUGUGUGCUACCCAAAGGCGAUGAUGGCAUGCCACGCCUAACGUCGUUCGACCGUAUUUUCCGUCCAAAGCGAUGAUGGCAUGCCACGCCCGACGCCGUCCGACCGUUUCUGCUACCCAACUAUGAUGAUGGCAUGCCACGCCCGAAGUCGUUCGUUCGUGCGUGCAGUCCAAAGGUAGUGAUGGCAUGUCACGCCCGAGGUCAUUCGACCGUGUGUGCAUCCCAAAGGCGAUGCUGGCAUGCCUGACGUCGUUCGACCGUGUGUGCUGCCCAAAGGUCACUAUGGUAUGCAACGCCCGACGUUGUUGACCAUGUGUGUUGUCCAAGUGCGGUGAUGUCAAGCCACGCCUGACAUCGUCCGACCGUGCGUGCUGUCCAAAUGCGUGAUGUCAUGCCACGCCAGACUUCUUUCGACCGUAUGUGCUGCCCAAAGGCGAUGAUUGCAUGCCAAGCCCGACGUCGUUCGACCGUGUAUGCUGUCCAAAGGCGGUGAUGGCAUGUCACGCCUGACGUCGUUCGAUCUUGUUUGCCGUCCAUGGGCUAUGAUGGCAUGCCAUGCCCGACGUCACUCGACCAUUUGUGCUUCCCAAAGGCGAUGAUGGCAUGCCACGCCUGACGUCGGUCGACCGUUUGUGCUGCCCAAAGACGAUGUUGGCAUGUUACGCCCGAUAUCGUUCGACCGUGUAUGCUGUCCAAAGGCGGUGUUGGCAUGUCACGCCCGACGUUGUUUGACCGUGUGUGCUGUCCAAAGGCGGUGAUGUCAUGCCACGGAUGACGUCGUUCGAUCGUGUGUGCUGUCCAAGGGCCAUGAUGGCAUGCCACGCUCGACGUCGUUUGACCGUGUGUGCUGCCCAAAGGUAAUGAUGGCAUGCCACGCCCGACGUCGUUCGACCUUUUGUGCUUCCAAAAGGCGAUGAUGGCAUGCCAUGCCCGACGUAUUUCGACCGUGUGUGCUGCCCAAAGGCGAUGCUGGCAUGCCACGCCCGACGUCUUUUGACCAUGUGUGCUGCCCAUAGGUAAUGCUGGCAUGCCACGCCCGACAUCGUUUGACCGUAUGUGCUUCCCAAAGGUAAUUAUGGCAUGCCACACCCGACGUCGUUCUACCGUUUGUGCUUCCCAAAGGUGAUGAUGGCAUGCCACACCCGACGUCUUUCGACCGUGUGUGAUGCCCAAAUGUGAUGAUGGCGUACCACGCCCGACGUCGUUCGAUCGUGUGUACUACCAUGAUGGCAUGCCACGCCCGAUGUCGUUCGACUGUGUGUGUUGUCCAAAGGCGGUGAUGGCAUGUCACGCCUGAUGUCAUUCGACCGUGUAUGCUGUCCAAAGGCGGUGUUGUCAUGCCACGCCCGACGUCUUUCGACCAUGUGUGCUGCCCAAAGGCAAUGCUGGCAUUCCACACCCGACGUCGUUCGACCGUAUGUGCUUCCCAAAGGUAAUUAUGGCAUGCCACACCCGACGUCGUUCUACCGUUUGUGCUUCCCAAAGGCGAUGAUGGCAUGCCACACCCGACGUCUUUCGACUGUGUGUGAUGCCCAAAGGUGAUGAUGGCAUGCCACGCCCGACGGCGUUCGACCAUGUGUGCUAUCUAAAGGCAGUGGUGGUAUGUCGUGCCUGACGUCGAUCGACCGUGUUUGCUGUCCAAAGGCGGUGAUUUCAUGCCAGACCCGACGUCUUUCGACCGUGUGUGUUGCCUAAAGGCGAUGAUGGCAUGCCACGCCAGACAUCGUUCGACCGUAUGUGCUGUUCAAAGGCAGUGAUGGCAUGUCACGCCAGAUGUCGUUCGACCGUAUUUGUCGUCCAUGGGCUAUGAAGGCAUGCCAUGCCCGACGUUGUUCGACCGUGUGUGCUUCCCAAAGGUGAUGAUGGCAUGCCACGCCCGACUUAGUCUGACAGUGUGUGCUGUCCAAGGGCGGUGAUGUCAUUCCACGCCAGAUGUCGUCCUACCGUGCGUGCAGUCUUAGGGCGGUAAUGUUAUGCCACGCCCGACGUCAUCCGACCGUAUGUGCUGUUUAAGAGCGGUGAUAGCAUGCCACUCCAGAUGUCGUCUGACCGUCUGUGCUGCCCAAAGGCGAUGAUGGCAUGACACGCCCGACGUCGUCCGACCGUGUGUGCUGUCCUAAUGCAGUGAUGGCAUGCCACGCCCGACGUCGUUCAACCGUGUUUCCCAUCCAAGGGCGAUGAGGGCAUGCAACGCCGGACGCCGUCCAUCUGUGUCAGCUAGUUCAAAGGCAAUGAUGGCAUGCCACGCCCGACGUUGUUUGACCGUAUUUGCCGUCCAAGGGCUAUGAUGGCAUGCCACGCCAAACGUUGUUCGACCGUGUGUGCUGUCCAAGGGCCAUGAUGGCAUGCCACGCCCGAAGUCGUUUGAUCGUGUUUGCUGUCAAAGGGCUAUGAUGGCAUGCCACGCCGAUGUUGUUCGACCGUGUGUGCUGCCAAAAGGCGAUGAUUGCAUGCCACGCCGACGUCGUUCGAUCGUGUGUGCUGUCCAAAGGCGGUGAUGUAAUGCCACGCCUGACGUCGUUCAACCGUGUGUGCAACCCAAAGGUGAUGAUUGCAUGCCACGCCCGACGUCGUUCGACCGUAUUUGCCAUCCAAAUUGAUGAUGGCAUGCCACACCCGAUGCGAGCUGACCAUUUCUGCUACCCUACUAUGAUGAUGGUAUGCCAAGCCCGAUGUCUUUAAACCGUGCGUGCAGUCCAAAGGCGGUGAUGGCAUGUCACGCCCGAAGUCAUUCGACCGUUUGUGCUGUCCAAAGGCCAUGAUGUCAUGCCAAGACCAACGUCUUUCGACCGUGUGUGCAUCGCAAAGGCGAUGCUGGCAUGCCUGACGUCGUUCGAGCGAGUGUUCUGCCCAAAGGUGAUUAUGGCAUGCAACGCCCGACGUUGUCGAUCGUGUGUGUUGUCCAAGUGUGGUGAUGUCAUGCCAUGCCUGAAAUCGUCCGACCGUGCAUGCUGUCCAAAUGCGAUAAUGUCAUGCCACGCCCGACGUCGUUCGAUCGUGUGUGCGGUCCAAAGGCAGUGAUGGCAUGUCACACCUGAUGUCGUUCGAUCGUGUUUGCCAUCCAUGAGCUAUGAUGGCAUGCCAUGCCCGAUGUCUUUCGAUCGUUUAUGCUGCCCAAAGGCGAUGAUGGCAUGCCAUGCCCGACGUCGUUCGACCAUUUGUGCUGCCCAAAGACGAUGUUGGCAUGCCAUGCCCGACGUCGUUCGACCGUGUGUGUUGUCCAAAGGCGGUAAUGGCAUGUCACGCCAGACGUCAUUCGACCGUGUGUGCGGCCCAAAGGCGAUGAUUGCAUGCCACGCCCGACGUCGUUUGACCGUGUGUGCUGUCCAAAGGCGGUGAUGGCAUGUCACGCCUGACGUCGUUUGAUUGUGUUUGCCGUCCAUGGGCUAUGAUGGCAUGCCAUGCCUGACGUCGUUCGACCGUUUGUGCUGCCCAAAGGCGAUGAUGGCAUGCCAUGCCUGACGUCGAUCGACCGUUUGUGCUGCCCAAAGAUGAUGUUGGCAUGUUACGCCCGAUGUCGUUCGACCGUGUAUGCUGUCCAAAGGCGGUGAUGGCAUGUCACGCCCGACGUCGUUCGACCGUGUGUGCUGUCCAAAGGCGGUGAUGUCAUGCCACGCCUUACGUCGUUCAAUCGUGUGCGCUGUCCAAGGGCCAUGAUGGCAUGCCACGAUCGACGUCGUUCGACUGUGUGUGCUGCCCAAAGGUAAUGAUGGCAUGCCCCGCCCGACGUUGUUCGAACUUUUGUGCUCCCAAAGGCGAUGAUGGCAUGCCAUGCCCGACGUCUUUCGAUCGUGUGUGCUUCCCAGAGGAGAUGCUGGCAUGCCACGCCCGAUGUUGUUUGACCGUUUGUGCUGCCUAAACGUAAUGAUGGCAUGCCACGCCCGACAACGUUCGACCUUUUGUGCAUUCCAAAGGCGAUGAUGGCAUGCCACGCCCGACGUUGUUCGACCGUGUGUGCUGCCCAAAGGUGAGGACGGCAUACCACGCCCGACGUCGUUCGAUCGUGUGUACUGUCCAAGGGCCAUGAUGGCAUGCCACGCCCGAUGUCGUUUGACUGUGUGUGUUGUCCAACGGCGGUGAUGGCAUGUCAGGCUUGACGUCAUUCGAUCGUGUUUGCCGUCCAUGGGCUAUGAUGGCAUGCCACGCCCAACGUCGUUUCACCGUUUGUGCUGCCCAAAGGCGAUGACAGCAUGUCAUGCCCAACGUCAUUCGAUCGUGUAAGAUGUCCAAAGGCGGUAAUGUCAUGCCACGCCUAACGUCUUUCGACCGUGUGUGCUGCCCAAAGGCAAUGCUGGCAUGCCAUGCCCUGACGUCAUUCGACCGUAUGUGCUGCCCUAAGGUAAUGAUUGCAUGCCACACCCGACGUCGUUCUACUGUUUGUGCUGCCCAAAGGAGAUGAUGGCAUGCCACACCCGACGUCGUUAGACCGUGUGUGAUGCCCAAAAGUGAUGAUGGCAUGCCACGCCCGACGUCGUUCGACCGUGUGUGCUGUCCAAAGGCGGUGAUGGCAUGUCAUGCCCGACGUCAUUCGACCGUGUGUGCUGUCCAAAGACGGUGAUUUCAUGCCAGGCCCGAUGUCUUUCGACCGUGUGUGUUGCCUAAUGGCGAUGAUGGCAUGCCACGCCCGACAUCGUUCGACCGUAUGUGCUGUCCGAAGGCAGUGAUGGCAUGUAACGCAGACGUCGUUCGACCGUGUUUGCCGUCCAUGGGCUAUGAUGGCAUGCCACUCCCAACGUCAUUCGACCGUGUGUGCGGUCCAAAGGCGGUGAUGGCAUGUCAUGCCCGACGUCAUUCGACCGUGUGUGCUGUCCAAAGACGAUGAUUUCAUGCCAGGCCCGACGUCUUUCGACCGUGUGUGUUGCAUAAAGGCGAUGAUGGCAUGCCACGCCCGACAUCGUUCGACCGUAUGUGCUGUCCGAAGGCGGUGAUGGCAUGUCACGCCAGACGUCGUUCGACCGUGUUUGCCGUCCAUGGGCAAUGAUGGCAUGCCACGCCCGACGUCGUUCGACCGUGUGUGCUGCCCAAAGGCGAUGAUGGUAUGACACACCCGACAUCGUUUGACUGUGUGUGCUAUCCAAAGGCAGUGAUGUCAUGCCACGUCCGACGUAGUCCGACCGUGUGUGCUUCCCAAGGGCGGUGAUGUCAUGCCAUGCCAGAUGUCGUCCGACCUUGUGUGCUGUCCAAGGGCGGUGAUGUAAUGCCACGCCCGACGUUGUCGACCAUGUGUGCUGUCCAAGGCCGGUGAUGUCAUGUAAUGCCCGACGCUGUCCGACCGUGCGUGCUGUCCAAGGGCGAUGAUGUCAUGUCAUGCCCGACGUCGUUCAAUCGUGUGUGCCGUCGAAGGGCGGUGAUGUCAUUCCACGCCAGAUGUCGUCCGACCAUGCGUGCAGUCCUAGGGCGGUGAUGUCAUGUAACGCCCAACGUCGUUCGACCGUUUCUGCUGCCAAAGGCGAUGAUGGAAUGCCACGCCCGAAGUCGUUCGACCGUGGAUGCUGUCCAAAGGCGGUGAUGCCAUGCCACGCCCAAUGUCGUUCGAUCAUGUGUGCUGCCCAAAGGCGAUGAUGGCAUGCCACGCCUGACGUCGUUAGACCGCGUGUGUUUUCCAAAGAAGGUUAUGGCAUGUCACGCCUGACGUCGUUCGACCGUGUUUGUCGUCCAAGGGAUAUGAUGGCUCGCCACGCCCGACGUCGUUCGACCAUGUCUGCUUCCCAAAGUCGAUGAUGGCAUGCCACGCCCGACGUCGUUCGACCGCGUGUACUAUCCAAAGGCGGUGAUGUAAUGCCACUCCCGACGUAGUAAUACCGUGUGUGCUGCCCAAGGGCGGUGAGGUCAAGCCACGCUCGACGUUGUUUGACCGUGUGUUCUGUCCAAGGCUGGUGAUGUCAUGCCACGCCCAACGUCGUCCGACCGUGCGUGUAGUCUAAGGACGGUGAUGUCAUGCCAUGCACAACGUCAUUCGACUGUGUGUGUUGUCCAAGGGCGGUGAUGUCAUGCCACGCCCGACGUCGUCCGACCUUGCGUGCAGUCCAAAGGCGGUGAUGUCAUGCCACAUCCAACGUCGUCCGACCGUGUGUGAUGUCCAAGGGCGCUGAUGGCAUGCCAUGCCCGAUGUCGUCCGACUGUGUGUGCUGUCCAAGGGCGGAGAUGGCAUGCCACGCCCGACGUUGUUCGACCGUCAAUGCCGUCCAAGGGCGUUUUUUUGCAGUCCAUGCCCAUUCUGCGUAGGCCUUGGCAGAUGCCGCUUGGCCGCGGAUGUGCUGCAUAUGCAGACCCAUUUUCCCCUUGACAUCUAACUUGGCUUUAAAAAUCGCACCCGACAUCUCGAAAACCUUUUAUAGUGACAUAUCAUUAGUCCUUUAACAUGUCAUCAGGCUUGAUAAAUGAACUCACCAUCACGAAAACCUCGCAAUGGGGCUUAGUAUAGGACAAGUGUUUGAUCGUCGUAUAACGCCUAGCUCAACACUUAGCGGUAGACUAGUGAACUUUACGUGCCAUGUUACUUCCGAUACUUAUAUUUCAACAUUUAGUUAUUUUUUCCCCUUCCAAGGAUGCAAGCAACACGCGAACCUCUCAUUUGAAAAGUUAGAAAUGAUUGGAUUUGAUUUUGGGGGAGGGGGAGUGUGGGGGGGAUGAAUAGGAGCGGCAAAGGGCUGAAUCUCAGUAGAUCGUGGUUGUAAGGCCACUCUGCCACUUACAAUACCCCGUCACGUAUUUAAGUCGUCUGCAAAGGAUUCUACCCGCUGCUCCAUGGAAAUUGUACUUCAAGGCGGUCACCGCGACGCUUAUGUUGCGGCGACUUAGCCAACAACACGUGCCCUUGGGGGCCAUAGGCCCCUACUGCGGGUCGGCAAGCGGACGGCGGGCGCAUGCGUCGCUUCUAGUCCGGAUUCUGAUUUAGAGGCGUUGAGUCAUAAUCCAGCACACUGUAGCUUCGCGCCACUGGCUAUUCAAAGGUAAAACUAACAUCUCUCACGACGGUCUAAACCCAGCUCACGUUCCCUAUUAAAGGGUGAAAAAUCAAACAUUUGGUGAAUUAUGCUUCACAGUGACCAAAAGAGCCGAUAUCGAAGGAUCAAAAAGCAACGUCGCUGUGAACGCUUGGCUUUCACAAGCCAGUUAUCCCUGUGGUAACUUUUCUGAAAGCUGUAGCUUUGAAUUCCAAAGGUCUAAAGGAUCGUUAGGCCACGCUUUCACAGUUUGUAUUCAUAUUGGAAAUCAGAAUCAAACGAGCUUUUACCUUUCUCUUACACACGAGAUUUCUUUUCUCGUUGGGCUCAUCUUAGAACACCUGCGUUAUCUUUUAACAGAUGUGCCGCCCCACAAAAACUCCCCACCUGACAAUGUCUCCUUGCCGCGACGUCUGUCGACGUGGACUCACAUUAAGGCCGGGCGCACGGGAAGACAGCUUUCGCCCUCGCGCUCAGCCUUGCAACGUGAAGGGGAGGGCAACGUGAUGCGUGACGCCCAGGCAGACGUGCCCUCGGCAAAAUGGCUUCGGGCGCAACUUGCGUUCAAAGACUCGAUGAUUCACGAGAUUCUGCAAUUCACACCAAGUAUCGAAUUUCGCUACCUUCUUCAUCGAUUCGAGAGUCGAGAUAUUCAUUGUCAAGAGUCGUUUGUGUUAUCAGAGCAGCAUGCAUCCCCCAUGAUCCGUGAACAGGGCACGAGGGGAGGGCUGUCAAUUGUUGUAUUCCUUGGCGCUUUCCGCUCCGGGGUUCGGUGGUCGCCUGAAGAGCUUGAGGGCGUUGGGUGACAGGAGGGAGGCGCGUAACGAGCGAGCGCCUCCCCCAAGUGUUUAAAACGAGUUCGCAGGUCGUUAUGCUGUGCAGGUUUCGACAAUGAUCCUUCCGCAGGUUCACCUAUGAAAACCUUGUUACGACUUCUCCUUCCUCUAAAUGAUAAGGUACAAUGGACUUCUCGCAACGUCGCGGGCAGUGAACCGCCCAUGUCACCGCGAUCCGAACAUUUCACCGGAUCAUUCAAUCAGUAGGAGCGACAGGUGGUGUGUACAAAAUGCUGGGACAUAGUCAACGCGAGCUGAUGACUCGCGCUUACUAGGAAUUCCUCGUUGAAGACCAAUAAAUGCAAUAAUAUAUCCCUAUCACGACGAAAUUUCAAAGAUUACCCUGGCCUGUCGGCCAAGGCUAUAAGCUCGUUGAAUAAUCAGUGUAGCGCACGUGCGGCCCAUAACACCUAAGGGCAUCACAAACCUGUUAUUGCCUCAAACAUCCGCAGCCUAAAAGGUCGUAGUCCCUCUAAGAAGUUGGCCGCGAAGGGAUACCUCCGCAUAGCUAGUUAGCAGGAUGAGGUCUCGUUCGUUAACAGAAUUAACCAGACAAAUCGCAUCACCAACUAAGAACGACCAUGCACCAUCACCCAUAGAAUCAAGAAAGAGCUCUCAGUCCGUCAAUCCUUA
rnacentral:lncRNA from 1 species